rnacentral:lncRNA from 1 species
UGCGCUCAUUAUAAUUUAAAUCAAGUGGGUGUUUGGAGGAGGCCUUAGGAGCAGGCUAAAGAGAGGUGAAAGCUGCACCUGAGGCCAUGGAGGACUAUUCUCGAUUCUAUUUAUCGAUCGGUUGUGUUGAAGCAGCAGUGAUCCGGAUGAGAUGUGUUUACAUGGAUUGUUGUUGUUCGUCGUGUUCUGUUCCAUGGAUAAGCGCCUUUAGUGUUGCAGAACUUGCCGUAUGGUCUGCAAACUUGAAUCAGUGUUCCUUGCUACAAUAAAACCUAUCUAAAAUUAUACCUUGCGUAAGCGUGUGCAAAAUUGUCAUGCCGUUUAGAAAUCACAGAGACUAGCACCGCAAGGUCCUGACUUGGUGUCAUAGAACAAUAUUUUAGUUAGGAAACAUCAUGAUUACCAGGAUGGGGGACGAGAAGUAGUACAAUUACACACAUUUUUAAGAGCAUCUCCAUCCAACCAAAGCCCUCAAAACCUCUUCAUAUGUCUCAGCGGACAGCCCGGACAGAAAAGAGAGAAGAAAAAAGCCUAACCAACCGAGAUUCCCCAAACCUUCCCCUUCGUCCGAACACAGUUCAAAUGUUAGGAGGAAAUACGGGUGUCCGAAUGUGACAAUACAACAUGUGCUCCGUUCGUAAACUAAUAUAAGAAUGUUGGGUGUACGUCAGAUCCGGCCAGAAAAGAGGAAAUGGGCAUGUCCGGAUGUGACCAUAUAACCCGUACAUCAGAUCCGGCCCAACCUGUAUCACUCUCACUCUCUCUCAUAUGCAUGUGUACAAACGGUUCCAAAAAAAAUUGCAUGUGUGCAAACAUUCGCAAAUUCCCAAACCAAAUCAAUAUGUCGGGAGAAGAUGAGGAUGUCCGAACAUGUCCUCCGACACUGUCUGCAUGUAUCCGCGGGCAUAUAAGGGGUGCUCCCUCCGUCCUUGAAAAAGUGUACUUUCAAUUUUGUUGAAAAGUCAUUUUUUUAUGUUAGACUGUAUUUAUAUAAUAAUAGACCAACAUUUAUGCCAUCAAAUUAGUAGCAUUAGAUUCAUGAUAAAACAUAUUUUCGUCAUAUCUAUUUGGUUUCACAAGCACUCAUAUAUUUUUACACAAACUCGGUUAAACUUUGAGAUAGUUUGAUCCUCAAACAAAGUUAAAAGUACAUUUUUUCAAGGACGGAGCGAGUAGGUGUGAAAAUCCGGCAAGUUGGAUUGGAGAUGCUCUAAUGCAUCAAAAUUCUGUAGAUGCUCGAGGAAGAUAAAUUAAGAGCCACGAGGGUCAUGCUUUCUCCUCACAGAUCUAGAUCACAGAUGCUCAAGAAGGAGGCACGCACCAUCAUCGUCGUAUUAUUGGCCGUUAAGGGCAUUACUAGUUUAUUGCUUCCUCUGUUUCAUAUUUGUUGCCGUUGAAACAGAUGCAUCUAGAUGUGUUUAGUGCCAGAUACAUUCAUUUACCGAGCCUCGAUUUAUAUAUAAAGCAACGAUCAACAGCACCGUACAAACGCAUUGCCCCCAUAACACACGCACACACACACACAUCUAAGGUAGAAUACAUUGGCGUUGAGCGCAGCAACACCAUCCUUAGCACUACAAGAGUAGCCGGGGGCUACAGCCGUGAACACGCCACCGCGAAGAAGUGAAGCCGCAUAUGACGAACCGUGGGCUUCAAAGCGACACCUUCAGGAAGGGGACGACACCGGAGCGCCGCCAUCGCCUGAUCCGAGGAUCAGAGUGUUCCCUGGAGCAAGACGACGGGCAAUGAGAGCCGCGCCGACGCCUUCAAGAAGGGAACGAGCUUCGCUGCCGCCGGUCCGUCCGAAGAUGGAGUAGGUUUUCACCCCGACCACGACUCACCGCCACCGAACGCCACACCCCGGCUACCACGCCGCCCACACGCCCGUGGCAACCGGGCAGCACCAAGCCACAGUCUCUGCCCAUGAGCAUCGCAGACCCACCACCAGGGCCGCUGCCCCGACAUCCAAGACCUUGACACCACCUUACCCGAGAUCCGCCGCUACCCCAACCAAAGAUACAAGCGAAAAGGACCCGCCUUUCGCAUCCCUAGGCUGCCUCCAGUGUCGAGACCCAAUAGGCCGGCCAAAACUGGCCUCCAUCGACCCAUCUUGAGGCACCGGCGCGAGACGAGCUCGGUCAUGCCGCCGGGCGCAAGAUGAGUGAUGGACCGCAGUUGAGGGAGGGCCAACCAUCGACGAAGAUACCGGCCGUACGCCAAGGAGAUAGAUCGAAGGUCAAGCCGUGUCGCAUACAAACGAGCCGACACAGGGAAUCUAGCCGCCGCCGCAGCUGACACGCCGAGCUGCCGUGAUGCCGGCGCGGCGAAUGGAAGCCGCCACCAGAAGGUCGAGCCGCCUCGCCGUUGCCGCCCACAUAUGGAGUAGCGGCCACGCCGGGCCGGUGCCCCAACCCGCGCCGCCUGCUGGAAAACGCCAGAUCCAGCCGGCAUGCACCACCACCACCGCCACCAACCCACGCCACCCAAGGUCGUUGGCCUACCUCCACCAGCCACCAUCGCCGCCGGAGCUACCAUGGCAGCCGACCCGUGCUGCCACGGCCUGCGCCGCCACCUUGAGCCAGGAGGCUGGAUCUGGCCGGGGGCUUGCCCGCGCCCACCCUCCCGAGACAGACGCAACACACUGCCUCCAGAGACCCAGCUGUGCCUUUGGCCACCGCCUGCGCCACGCCCCAGCCACCCCGAGCCAGAUCCGUUCAUACCUGGCCAGGGAACAGGGCGCACACACCCGCCUGAGCAGUCUCCUCGCACCCGUUGCACCACGGCCAGCAGCAGUCCGCCACCGCGCCAGCCUUCACCGCACACGCGUUGACCCAUGCGCCCGCCGUCGCGCCAGCCCACUGCCCCUGCGCGAGAAGCUGUCCUGCGAGCCGCGCCCCGAGCGGAGAGGAGUCAGUUCCCUGCCGCCACCUAUGCCGGCCGGGCUUGGCCCGGUGGCGCCAUGCAGCGGCGGCGAGGGAGGGAGGCUAGGAGGAGAGGACGCUGGUGGCGCUCUAGGGUUUGCCCCCGGUCGCCUGCGGGGACGACAUGGGAGGAGGAGUCCUAUUCCUCGCUUUGUUGUUCGUUGGGUCAGUUUCCAGCUCCAGAUACAUCUGUUUGAGUGUCAGCUAAUAUGAAACGGAGGGAGUUAGAAUAUAAUGCCGGACGAAAGCCUUCAUUACUACAACAGCACUCAGAAUCACGUAGCAAUGUGCUAGAAUUAACAUAUACGGAGUAUAUGUAGUUUUUUUGAAUGAGAAGACAUAUAUAUGAACUUAAAGACGAGACACGACAAUAAUUCAUCAUGGACAGUUGCCUUAGCUUUGGCAGUGUUGCCAGUUGUUGCAAGUACCAGCCUCAAGUAUGCAGACGACGACGCCGACAUAGCUACCGCGGCAAAAGAGACCAGACGACAUAGCUAUGAGCUACUAUCUCGUUGCAUUGCUUGCAUUGCAUGCAAACGUACACCUCCAUAGCCGACAAUGAACGAAGCUUCCUCCUAGCCACUGUGGCUAUCUUGGCCGCACUAGCUGGCCACACCGGCGAUGCCCGACAAGCAACCUAACCAUGCCAUCAUCCAUCCAUCCAUACAUACAUGCAUAACCAACCCCAGAGAGCGAGAGAAGGGAGAAGUUUCAGUCCCACCUUAAACAAAUUAUAUUGUUGCUUAGCACUAGCGGUGUAGAAAUAUUUAUUUAAUUAUAUGGUGGCAGUCUUCUUACGGCUUUUGGAAACUGUUAUCUAACGAAUUGAUGCCAACACUUUUGCCGUUAGGUGUGAAUUGUGAUAGAGUGAGGUACUUACUGCUCACUACUUGUGUUUGAAGCCAAAAUGUUAAAACCUGGACCUAUCAUAUAUCAUUACUUAAAUUGGGAGAAGCGACAUGUGUAUUCCUCUUUGCUCUCAAGCGGGUGAAACCUGAGAAUGACCGAUGGCCAACAAUGCCCAAGCUAACAGAUUUGCUUUCCUUGUUUUCUUUCAGCUGGGGUUUUUCUUUGUGAUGAAAGUGAAACCAAAUCUUUCCUACUUGCAAAAUUUUGAGUUGGUGGUGAGUACACUUCUCCCACUUCACUUUUAGUUGCCUGCGUGACCACAACUUUUGCAUGAUGUACGUGUGUACACACUCUGGCCAUUCUGUCUCUAAAUCAUGCAUCAAACUAUUAUGUGGUUGUUAUCUCUAAAUUCAUGUAUUGAACCACUGCUUGUUUGUUGCAUAUAACUGGUUGUCAAGCCAAAGCUAAUCAGUGUACUCAUUUGACAAAUUUAAAUCCUUGUUUUUUUCCAUUAUAGUUUUGUAACAACGGACAAAUUUCUAUUAAUAUGCAUAGAGGAUUCUGAAUACUCCACUAUUGAUAUAUAAAAAUAUGGCGUGGUAUGUGGCCGCCUGCGUACCCAACUGGAAGUUCUACGUAGCAGUGGUUCCCAUGGCAGUCCAUUAGGCACGCGCGGAGGAGAGAACGCAAGAAGAAGCUCUGGGCUCUACAAAAUUGAGAACGGAGGAAUGAAGGAAAGGUGCGUUGCUUCAUCAAAGGGGGUAAUGUGUGUAUAAAUCCACCUGCCGCACAAAAGCCAAUGAUCAAUUGCAUCACCAUCCAUAUAUUCGCGCAGUUACCCCCCGCAGGGUAUGUCACGUGACAACGGUUCAUAGACGACUAAAAUGGCCACAAGGGAAGCAACGACUCUCUCUCUCUCUUGAAAUAGUCUUUCAGCCUGCUUUAUAAAUAAAGCAAAUAUCCAUACAACCAAGUUCGAGGAACCAAAGUAAAUAAGAUGGGGCAACAACACAAUCAUGCCCAAAAAACAUAAAAGAAAUAGAAAGAAGCCGCCAAGUGGCAGACUAGCAGCUAGCCGGGGAAGCAACGACUCCACGAGUCCAAGUGCCGACAAGCAAGUCGCCUAACGACUUCAGCAGGGGCAAACGAUUUAGCAACAUACCCGCGACCUCAUUGCAAAUAUUGACGGAGCUAGCUUGUCGAGGAUAAGUGGUUCCAUCGUAUUUCCAUGCCACGCAUACCAUAUUUGGGUUGUACUUUCCUACAUAUGUGCGGUAUUGGGGCGCCAUGCAUGUGUGGCCGACUUCCUCCGACGAGCCACCCCCCUGUCACUCAAAGAAGUUCGGUGACUAAAGGCAGGAGGAGUCGACGGCAUGCAAGGCAAGAUGAUCAAUAUGAAGGAUGACGACCACCCACAUAUAUAAACCCAUAUAUAAAGGCAUUCGACAAACUCUAAGGGCAUAUUCAACAUUGUCUGAGCCCUAAACUAGGUCAUUAGAACAUUCGAUCUGGGUGCUCCGCCCAAAUUGUUCACAUGGAACUCACCGGGCUGACAUCCAACUCGUCGAUACCAUCACUGUACUCAUUUAUUGUAAAAUCAUCUCGAUAUAAUCCUAUAUAAGGAAUAGCAGGAUUGUUACUCCACCAGUGAGGGCCUGAAUCUAGGUGAAAUAUGUGCCCCGUGUCCAUCUAGUAACAUGAGGCUACUGUUGUUAGGGUCCUUGUGAAACACCCUCGACAAGGUCCAUGGUGCAUGUGGGUCAGGUACGCUAGCUGGUUCAGCGGACUCGGUUUUUGGUAACCUGAGCAAUAAGUUGGAACUGUUUGCCCGAUAAUCAUUGACACACUAGUUACCUCUUGGCUGUAAAAUAACUAUGUUGAUUUUUGUACCAAAUAGUAUCCCUUUCUAUCUCCUCAAAUCUUCUUGAGACUUCAUAUUCCAGUGUUCUGUGUGUUAAAAUGUUUUUGCGUUGUAGCCGUUCACGGUGCUCCUCCUCGCCCCUUGUUCUAGUAGGAUAUGUUUUUUUUUUCAGGGACUUCCUUUAGUUGCAUUUGUUUGUGUAUAAUAUGUGGUGGUACAUAUUCUGUACGAUAUAUAUUUGCAUGGGGUUGCUAGUAGGCAUAAAGGAAUCUCUUCACCAAACCCAUUCAUGGACUUUCUCACACAUAUUUGGAAGGUUGUCAGCAUCAUUGCUUGCUUUCUGAUCAAGAAUCAUUGCCAAGGAGGCCCCAAUAUAUUUUCAUCAUUAUCCUAAAAGGUCCAAAAAAUGAUUCUCCUAAAAGAAGACAAUAUUAUUAUUUACCUUUGGUUUGGAUAAUAUAUAUGGACAAAUAUCACAACUCAACGAAUAGUACACAUUUGUACAUCAAAAAUCAGAUUAAGCGCCUUUGAUUUUUGAGAAGUUAAAGUGUGGUGCUCUGUAGUACGUGUAUACCAGUAUUUUUGAGAAGUUGAAGUGUGCUUAGCAAGAUCACAAUUCACACGGUAUAUAUAUGAACGUUUUUUCCUUGUCAAUGAGAAGACACGGAUAAACAAUUUGUGGUUGUUACUUCGUCAUAACGAACUGACACCUACUACAAGCGGGCACGGUACGCUUUAUUCGUCGUUCGUAGGAUCGAUUUCGUACCCAAGAUACCACUGGAGGAAAGACGAGUGCACUGCAUGCAGUGGCCUGAAAUAAAUAUGCAUGCAUGCGUGAUGCGGCCGGAAGGAGCGAAAACCCGCGCACGCUCAUGACGCUGAUGCCGCAGCUGCUCCAUCCAGAACCUUGAAACAUAAGGUGCUGAAAUAACGAAAAAUGUGUGUGGAGCACGAGUGCCGGAACAGUGUGCCGCUUAAUUUGGCUCUCACGUAUCAGCUAUAUAUGCUGUCGAUGCAUUUUUUUCUGUGUUGUAAACAUUGAUACAAUUUUUUUUUUGAAUUUGGUCAAACGUGAAGAAGUUUAACUUAAAACAAGCCUAGAACUUCAAGUAUUUUGGAACAUUAGUUAUGGUGUCGAUGUCGGUCAUCAAUUUGCCGACAAACUAAAUAUAAUAGAACACCAAGCAAGGAAGGGCCAGAACGCAAAAUUUGAAAGCAUACGCGCAAACCGAUUGACGCAUCAUGGCACUCGUUGCGGUGCCCUUGUAUCUGGCAUUCUGGCUCGGGGCUUCGCGCAAAUCGACUGGGGCAUCAUGCCGCUCGCUGCGGCACCCUGAGGGCUUCAUGCAAAUCAAGUGAUGCGUAAAAAAAAUCACAAAACCAAAGCAACCACCACGUCGGCGCCCAAGCUUUCCUCUUUCCUCCGCCGACGCCACUGCCGGUUCGUCCCAUCUCCGAUGGCCUUUGGGCCAUGGAGAAGCGGAGGAUUCCCCCCCCCCUCCCCGCGGCGGCGGGACGGACCCGUUCUUGUUUUUAUUAGGUUUAGUAUCUUGGUUGGGAUUAUGUGGCGGCGGCGAUGUCCCUCAAUAGGGAUAAUGUCUUCCACUUUCUAUCUCCGUCCCGGUGUUGCGUCUAGUGUAGUCGGAGGGUGUGUGGAGGUGUGUCUCCGCCGGAUCUCGUGUGGGAUCAUGCCGGUGCUGGUCUUUAGUGGAUCUGUUUGGAUCCGGUCUUGUUUGUCUUGGUUUGGCUGUUUAUAGGGUUGAUGCUUCCAAUCUACGACUUACUUCAUCGAUGAUGGUUGCUGCUCUGGACCUACGGGGCCUUAGCACAAUGACUCCCCGGCUGUCUACUACAACAAAGUUUGUUCGUCUCUAGUGAGGGAGGGACGAUGACGGCGACGCACCUUCGGCUCUCUUCAGUACUUGUAGUUGUCACUAGAAGGUCUACAAACCUGGUUGUAAUUUUUAUUACCUUUUGUGUCUUUGUAGCACCAUGAUUAGAGAUUAAUAGAUUAGAUUAUUUUUGAAACGUUUAGAUUGGAAAUUUCUCACACAAAUUUUAUUUUUUAUCUAUAAAGCGAGGUGAAAGACUGUUUCAAUAGAGAUUAUCUUCGUGGACAGCUGGAUCAGCACCUUGCUUGGCAUGGCUGCAUGGCAAAGUAAGACGAAUCGCUUGGAAUUAACGAACAAAUUGAACCAGCACCUAAUUAAAAGCGCGCUGCGACAGAUGAUUCGCACCAAAGGCACCAGCGAAAACGAGUGUUGCACCGUUGCAGCAGAGCAGCGCAGUACGUCACGUUUGCGUUUCGGCUGCAUGCAUGCCGCAGAAAGAACGUGUGGAAUAUUGAAUGUUAAAGGACUGGUGCGCGCGUCGGCUGCCUCAUCGACAUGCGUCACACUUGUUUUUUCUCAGACAGAGAAAGUAAUAUAUUCGUCAUCAUACCUUGGAACAUAAGGAAUCGAUCGGCCGGCCUGAAAAUAACGAAAUCGAGUGAGACGUAGAUUGAUGUAUGAUGGCCGGAUGUGCAAUACGAUCGCCGUUCCGUUAGCCUUUCAAUUCAUGCAUAUAUGCAUGCUGAAAUCUCCCACUUUAUUAUUUUUAGAAUAAAACUUGAUACACAUUAUAUAGCUAGGCCUAGGCUUACAGAUGUAAAAUGAACUGCUGCUGGCCCGCAUGUCAGCGCCGGUUUUAUAUUACGUAAGCUUAUUGUGGCAUAAAAAAAUUCAGUGGUCUCGGAGGGGCUUGAACCAUCGACCUACGGUACAUCGGACCGUCGCUCUAAGAGCAUCUCCAGCCGUUGGCCCCUCAGGAGGGGUUAAAAAUCGCCCUUUGAGGCACACCGGCGCUAAACCGCGCGUUGGGGGCGUGAUGCCCCCCAGUUGCCGCGUCCAGUUUUUUUUUGAAAAACUUAAAUACGGCGCAAACAUGGCUCAAAUUUAACGCAAACUUCGGCGAGUUCUUUCAAAUUUAAACAUAUUUUAUAAAAAAACUGCCAGGGGCUGCUCCUCGCCGUCUCCAUCGCCGCUCCUCGCCGUCUACCUCGCCGCUCCCCGCCGCCCGCCGCCCGCCCUUGCAGUUCUACAUGCCGAGGAGGCUGUAGAACCACGUGUAGUCGCCGCCGCUGCCGCCGCCGUCAUCGUCAUCGUCGUCGCCGCCGCUUCCGCCGCUGCCGUCCCUGCUGCAUCCCUCCCUCGGUUGGCGCGGCGGGUUGGACGGUCCGGGGGCGUCCUCGUCGUCGUCGCUGUCGAGGAUCACGACGCCGUGCUCGUCCUCGCGCCCACGCUUGCGGGCUUCUAUCUCCUCCAGGGCCCGGCGCUGCCGGACCAUCUCGUCGCGGAGGUAGUCGUCCCGCGCCCACUGUAGGGCGUCCUCACCGGAGAAGCCGCGUCGGGCUAUCUCCUCGUACUCCGCGGGGAGGCCGGGCUCCGGCUUGGGCUCGACGAGGACGAAGCGNNNNNNNNNNNNNNNNNNNNNNNNNNNNNNNNNNNNNNNNNNNNNNNNNNNNNNNNNNNNNNNNNNNNNNNNNNNNNNNNNNNNNNNNNNNNNNNNNNNNNNNNNNNNNNNNNNNNNNNNNNNNNNNNNNNNNNNNNNNNNNNNNNNNNNNNNNNNNNNNNNNNNGGGGUGGAUUCGCCAAUGCGGACGCCGGAGCUGCGGGUGCGCGCGCUGACAGGAGUGUCCUGGGGCUCCGGCUUGACGGGGCGGAGGCAGGGAGAGCCGGACGAGGAGGAGGACGCCCCGGGCCGCUCCAUGCGCCUCGGCGUCCAGGAGCUCCCACGGCGGCGUGAGAAGGACGGGGGAGCGGGGUACUCGAGGCGCGGCGUGUUGCCGCCCUCGAUGUACUCGAGGACGGCCUCCAACGUGCGGCCGGGCACGCCCCACCACUGGCGCCGGCCCUUGGAGUUGAGCCUGCCGGAGGGCACGACGCCGUUUGUCGCCUCGAGCUGUUCGGCGUGGCGGCGGCGGAAGUAGGGCUCCCAGAGCGGGCUGUCGGGGGUGUACCGUGGGCCUUCCCUCGCCGUCCGCGGCAGGGACGCGCGGAUACAUGCGAUCUCCGCACACCGCGCCGCCCCGGUGGGUGGUGGUGGCACCGGCACGCCGCCGACGCUGAUCCUCCACGCCCCGGGCACCCGCAUGUCCGGCGGGGCCGGGUACUCGGCCUUGAAAAGGAGACGAGCCUCGUUCUCGUGAAGAUGGCGGCGCCCGAAGCCAUUCGCCGCCGCGCCGUCGCCUGGGAAGCGCUCGGCCAUUCUUCUGAACUGGAGACGGCGAGAGGAGGGGAGGGAAGAAGGGGGGGGGGGAAUGGGCGCGUCGGCGGUGGAGGAUCUGUGCGUGUCUCCAGCGUGCUGGUGGUCGGCUUAUAUAGGCGGAGGCGCCGCAUAGUACGCGUGGCCGGCGCGCUACGCGUGGCGGGCGAGGGGACGCGCGUCGCCCGACCUUCACUGCGCCGCCCGUGAGGCAUCAAUGGAGGCUGACCGGUGCGGCAGCGCGCGCAGCUUUGGCAUUGAUUCACCGCGGGAAACGAGGCGAUGAGGACGAUGAAGCGGCGAGAAGAGAGUCGAGUCGUUGGCAAGGGGGGCCCGCGACUCUUCACGCCAAAAACGAUUCGCCCGGCGCCCCCGAGCGUCCCCAGCGCGCCGGGUUCGGGUUGGGUCCGUCGGCGCCAAUUUCGACCCGAGCCGGCGAAAACUGGGCCCUUGGGGGCGCGACUGGGCCGAUUUUUUGGCGCCGGCGGUCGAAAAAUCGCCUGGGGGACCUUCUUGGGGCGCGGCUGGAGAUGCUCUAACCAACUGAGCUACGAGAUUGUGACAAUUACUACUUCCUUCAUCCAGAAAUACUUGUCAAAGAAAUGCAUAAAAAUGGAUGUACCUAAAACUAAAAGACGUCUAGAACCAGCUAGCUGGAGGUAGCAAAACAGAGCACGCAUGUAGGACUAACUAAGCGAGUUACUGGCAGCUACUUACCACACACACAUGGAACUAAUUAAACGAUCACUAGGCAGAGUAGUGCUGUGCCGCAGGUAGCAUAGCUGCCAUAAAGAUAAAAUGCAUGCAGACAUCUAGAAUGUCGUGAAUAUGCCAAAAAGCUGGGACAUAACAAUCAUGGCUACGCGUGCAAACAGGAUGAGUCUGUUGCCUAGGCAACGUUAAGGUUGUUGCAAGUGUCACUGUGUCAGCCUCAAGCCAGGAGCCAAUUAACCUGGCAAGCUAGCAACCUCACAGAAUGCCUGCCUCUAUCCAUGGCUUCUUCAAGCUCGCUUCCUCGAUACAUCCCCGAAGAAUCUGCGACCGCGAGUGCGUGCGACCAGAAGUUUCAGUCCCAUGCAUAACCAACCCCAGAGAGUGAGAGAUGGAGGUUUCAGUCCCACCUCAAAUAAAGCAGCCGGAGAAGUUUGUUAGCCUGGUUCCCUUGGCUGAUGGCUAUGGCUCAACCCAUGGUUGGUAGCCAGUGACAAGACACUCUCACACAGACACACACACACACAGUCAUACAUGCACACUGCUGAUCGAUGAUAUAUGAUAUAUGCUGAAAGCGUGUACUGGAUGAUUUGGACGUGGGCUUAGAGGCCUCUUGAAGGAACCCUGAAUGGAAUGGAAUAGAUGGCUGGUGAAGUGACACACUAUCUAGCUAAGCUAAGCUGCUUGAAACCUACCACCAUAUCCCACUUGUCUCUUAGCUAGCUAGUAGCCAGAAAGAGGAGGUGUGUUGCGCAUGCAUGCGUGGUGCUAGCUAGCUCUAUAAAAUGGUGCAACUAUUGGUUGCCUAAGCCAUCGACCAUUGUGUUCCAGCUUGCAUUCGGCACAUCGUGGUGUUCGUGUUAGAGAGAGAGAGAGAGAGAGAGAGCUCAUCCAUGGCUAGAGAGAUGGAGAAGGCAAGGAAGGCCACCUCCCCUAAGGUUUAGGAAAUUACAAUGCAUGCAUGCAUGCAUGCAUCCUGUUGCCUCUGCUGUUCUAGCUAAGCUAGGGUUCAUCAGCUGGGACUUGGUUUCCGGCCCUUAGACGUGCAUUGAUCAUGCAAACAUUUGGUUGGUAUUUGCAGCAUGUUCAAUGGAUUCUCAGCUUGGCUGUCAUUUGCAGAGCAUUUUGGUUCUAGCAUAUGGGUGAAAGCUUAAGAUCGACUUCGCCUUGAACAUGCAAAUUCUUCCACUAGUUGUAGUUAUUAAUAAGUAUAUUGCAUGUCUAGCUUGAUCUUUUCUAGUUAGACGUACGUCACUUUGUAUAGAUGUCAGUUACUUUCAACUUAGUUAAAGGCUUUCUAAGCAAGCCCCUGGCGAUUUUGGGUUAGCUUGGGUAUCAUUUUCCCUACUUUUUCUAUAACUGUCCAAGUGGUCAAGGCAAGCUACUCUUUACUUGUCGGCUUGCACAUAUUUAUGGUACGGCACACACGGCUUAAAAUAUACUCUCUCCAUGAAAAAAUAUAUGAGCAUUUAGAUCCCUACUUUAGUGAUCUAUAAACACUCUUAUAUUUCUUUACAGAGAAAGUAUUUAUCUUAUAAUUUUCUUAAUUUGAACUUUUAUUGGAGUUAAUUUGUUAUGGUUGAUUUUAAAAGUUGUUAUUUGUUUCCUGCAGAGCUCAUCAACUAGUUCAGGUCCGAAAAGCCCAGCAAGGAACGGCGGGUCCCCUCCUCAUAAGAAGAACGUCACCGAGGUACUAAGGCUGGUCACAAUGGGCAAGAACAUAGUCUAGUAACUUACACACUUUCCUAGACUAUGUUACUACCUCCACAGUGGGUAGGAACAUCUAUGUAGUGUCAUGCAACAAUGUAUUUAUUAGGUUAUAGACUCAUUGUUUCUUGGAGUGUGUGAUGUUCCGGUAACUUAGCUAGUUACCACAAGCACCUUUCUCUUCAUUAAAUAUAUGACACAUAAGCAAAGUUGUAUUGGAGUGUGUGAUGUUACUCCUAAGUUCCUCCCCAUUGUGACCAACCUAAUAAAUUUGUAGGAAUGGCGUGCACAUCCAUGCAUCUAGUAAUGUAGCGCAUCUCUUCUUGUUUUCUUUUCUUUUUUGACACUGACAUCUCUUUAGCAUGUACACUAAAGAGAUGGGACUGAGAACUUUUAAGGGUGCAACAUCUCAUUUCACCUAACCAGCUAGAGUCUUUCCCUAUGAAAGCAUUUUCAUCUGGGUACUUUUGUGUUUUUUUUAUAAAUUACGAUUCCAAAUCAUGUUUCGGCUAAUUAUCUCAGUAUGUCCUUUUCAGGCACGACCAAAAAAUGAGCAGCAAAACUUCCGUAAAGGCGGUCAAGACUCGGCAACUCAUGAUGAGAGCAAACGACGUUCACCAACUUCACAAACCUCACCCAAGGUUCAUUUCAAACAUUUACAGAGAUAUAUUAAUUAACCCUAACAGAUGUGGCACAAAUUUGUGACAACAUGCACACAAGUGCCCUGAAAGUUUCAUAUGAAUUUUGCAUCAGAGAUCGACAAAGCACGAGCAGCCACUGAGCUACUGCAGGCUUCACACCGAGGAGCGGGCCAUAAGGCGAGCUGGUUACAAUUACCAGGUUAUAGAGAUGCACAUUCACUUUGCCACAACAAAUGGCCCUUUAUAUACCACUAGUUUGAGAAACUAAUAAGUUGUGACAAACUUACAGAUUGCAAGCAAGAUAAAUACGGAGGAAAUUAUUCGGAGAUUUGAGGACAAGUUAUCACAGGUGAAUAACACAUUUCGGAGGCAUAUAUGUUUUGUCUAUUUGGUUGGGUCAUAUAAUAAGCAGGUUCUUUUUACCAAUCAGUUUGUCUAAUUCACAUCUACCAAUAGGUGAUGGAGGAGCGUGAAAUCAAGAUGAUGAGGAAGGAGAUGGUUCCGAAGGCCCAACUUAUGCCAGCAUUUGACAAGCCAUUCCACCCUCAAAGGCAAUUAUCACACACAUAACUGACCAUAUCAUUAACCUGUCCCGCUGAUAUUGUUGAGCAAACUUAUCAUUAAUCAAUCGACUAGGAAGUGGGUCACUCGAUCUAUCACUAGCUAGGUGUAGAACAGAAUGUGGACAUUAAUCAAGGAACAAAGCAUAUAGCAUAUACUUAAAGAAAACUAGUGGAUGGAUAUACAUAUGCAUGGGCACAUACUCCGUUGAAUAGAAACGGGAACUUAGAGCCAACAACCCUCGCAUGCAUGCAUGCCUGUGUAAUCAGCUACUAGCUUUAAUUUGUUUCUUUUUUUGUACGUACUACUAGUACACAAAGUGGGGGCUAGUAGUUAACUAACAAGCAGUUAGCGAUAUGAUUGAUUAAUUCAGUGCUAGAGUAUUCAAGGAACAAAGAUGGACAUACAUGGUGAUUGAAUGAAAUUGUGACGUUGACGUGCGCGCAGGUCGAGGAGGCCCCUCACCGUCCCCAAGGAGCCGAGCUUCCUGAGGCUCAAGUGCUGCAUCGGCGGCGAGUUCCAUCGCCACUUCUGCUACAAUUCCGGCGGCGGGGCCAAGGCCGUCAACUGAUGAUGCGAGACCGAUCGAUCGACCGUACGUGAAGGGGGACUGUAUUUUUGCCGCUCGGUCAGUUGAUGUGCAUGCUGCCGUGUCAUGCACCCAUGCAUGCAUGCAUGCAUGCACGCGUAGUCGUAGUGCCAAUAUUCAACCGCUUGCUUUGCACCCGAUCGUUUUCACGCCACGUACAUAGCCAAUAGUGCUUCCUUUUUCUAUCUCUUCUUUUCUUGAUUUCUCUUACUUUGUUCCUUUCAAUUUCGCCACUAAAGACUAGGAGGAUAAAGAAAGGCCCCAUGGGAUGUAAUGCAUGCAUGCAUGCGUGCUGGCUUUACGUAUGUGUGUCUCUCGAUCUGGUGAUGAUAAUGAUAAAAGCUCCGCAUUUGUAACCAUGAGUGUCGUCGCCGUUUUGCUUUGCUCCAUCUCCAUCCAGGAGUAGUGAAGAACCAUGCGUGCUUACCUCGUUUGAUAUCCAUGUGUGUGUGUUCUCUGAGAGGCAUACAUGUACACAUCCAAGUCGCUGUCACGGAGGAAAUUCAACUCUUGACUCAGAUCUGAAACUAAAAGCAGUCAUUUGGAUCUGAAUUUCAACCCAGGCAUGCUCGGUCGCCUCAUGCAUGCAUAUAUGCUUUCCACGGAAUUGGAUCGAAGUGGGCUGGCAUUUUCUUUCUAUCGUUUAUAGCACCAUAUAUUGUACUCCCUCCGUCAUUUGAAGAGUGUACUUCCAACUUUGUUGGAAAGUCAAACUUUUUUAUGUUUGACCGUGUUUAUACAAUAAUGCACCAACAUUUAUGCCAUCCAAUUAGUAGCAUUAGAUUCCUGAUAAAAUAUAUUUUCAUCAUAUACUUAUUUGGUUUCAUAAAAAUUGAUAUAUUUUUGCACAAACUCGGUCAAACGUUGAAAUAGUUUGACCCUUCAACAAAAUUGGAAGUACACUCUUUAAAGGACGGAGAGCGUAUUUCGUACUUGCUCACCGACAAGCUGACGCAAGCUUAAGCUCACCAGAAAAAUAUUUUAAGAUGGAUAUUAGCUAGCGAAAGGCAGUGGAAGCAUGCAUGCAUGCAUGCAUGUCGACGCAUGCAACUUGAACAAAUGACUCUGAAUUAAUAAUAAUGCCCGGAUGCAUACGUGAAAGAUGGAGGGACUGGAUAUGGAUGAUUAGGUAGGCUUGUGAUGGACGCAUGCACGCACAUCCCUUUCAGGGUAAAAGCUCCAUUUUAUUCAAAAAUGUAUGUAUCCGAGGGUUGGAACACUACGACAACGACGCCAUGCACAAAGGGUUUGAACGCCAGUCUCUCUCUCUCUCUCUCUCCCUGGUACCCUCCGUGGGCUAGUUGGGCCCGACAAACCCAAACUCCUACUAGACCGGCCCGUUGGCAGAAUCUAGUAACACUGUUGCUAAAAAAAGCAGCGGGGGCACCGUAGCGUCGCGUUUCACUGUAUCGGGACAGGUUACUGUAGCGAGGCGAGUACAUACUGCAGAGCGUGGUUUACUGUAGCAGCCGUUCAAAAAUCUGCAACCACAUUUUGGAAAAAGUCUUUUUUGAAUACACAAUUUUAUUCAGUUUGUGACCAUUUUAAUGGCAAAGUGAACAAUUCGUACACAUUUUGACAUUUAUUUUUGAAAAAAUACUACUGUAUUUUUUUUAAUUUUAACCAUUUCUUCAAAAUUGUGAACAAUUUCUGAAAAGAGUGGACAUUUUUCUGAAAAUAUCGUAUUAAAAAACAUGAUUUUUUAAAAAUAUGAACAAUAUUUUGAGACUCUGAUUUUUUUGGUUUAAAAAUAGUUUUGAACUUUUCAAAAAAAAUAAGAUUUUUAUCUUUGAAAAGAAUCCAGUUUUUUUUGAAAACAUGAACAAAAAUUUGAAUUUUCAAACUUUAUGGUUUUUAAUUUUUUUAAAACUUAUGAAUUAUGAAAGAAAGAAAAAGAAAAGAAAAAUAGAAAACCAAAAGAAAAACAAUACAAAAACAACAGGAAAAAAACCUAGUGAAAGCUCAACAAAAUCUUUUGGAAGGUUCCUAAAACCGGACUAUUUGUGCUACUGUUAAAUGGGUGGACCCAAUCUGCACGGCCGGUCGCUUGCGCCUGUGUGUUGCGCCGGUAGUUUAACGCAACAUGUGACCAAUAGGAAAUGCACCGGAAGAAAACAGGAAAGACAACACCAAAUCGGUGCACUAUUUCAUUUAAGCCUGGUGCAGACCCAUCUUUAUGGUGGUGCUGAACUAGGGCAUUAACCAUGCAGGCGGUCGUGUGUGUUCACAAGAGCCAGAGGAGAAAACAAUGGAGGAUGCUGCGAAUUCCUAUUUGGCGCCUUUAAGCGUCGGUUUUAGUGCUUUCCNNNNNNNNNNNNNNNNNNNNNNNNNNNNNNNNNNNNNNNNNNNNNNNNNNNNNNNNNNNNNNNNNNNNNNNNNNNNNNNNNNNNNNNNNNNNNNNNNNNNNNNNNNNNNNNNNNNNNNNNNNNNNNNNNNNNNNNNNNNNNNNNNNNNNNNNNNNNNNNNNNNNNNNNNNNNNNNNNNNNNNNNNNNNNNNNNNNNNNNNNNNNNNNNNNNNNNNNNNNNNNNNNNNNNNNNNNNNNNNNNNNNNNNNNNNNNNNNNNNNNNNNNNNNNNNNNNNNNNNNNNNNNNNNNNNNNNNNNCCCAUUUACUUCUUUAUUUCGUCUUCUUGAUGUGUCAAUUUUUUUAGGAAAUAUCGCUCGACCACGCCAACUAAUGACGGUAGUAGACCUUGGUAUGGUAGUUCCUAUAUGAGCCGGCCCAUGUAGGUUUACACCGGUUUUGGGAACAAUCUAGAAGGUCACAUCGGUAUUUUAUCGGACAUUUUUCUCUAGGGUUUUCCAGCUCGUAUUUUUGUUUCGUUUUUUCCUUUUCCUUUUUAGUUUUAAUUUUUAUUUCCUUAUUGGUUUUUCAUUUUUAUUUUUCCCCAAUUUUUGAACUUUUCUCACAUUUGCAAUUUUUUGGAAUUUGUUUAGUUUUUUCAAAGUCUUGAAAUUCUUGAAAAUCCAUGAACCUUUCUAAAGUUCAUGAACAUUUUUUCAAAUUUACGAGCAUAUUUUGAAAUUCUUGAACUUUUUUUAAAUCUAUAAUUUUUUUUCGUAUUCAUGAAUUUUUGAAAGUUGAAUACUAUUUUUGAAUUUGUGAACCUUUUUCAAAAUGAUGAAUUUUCUUUAAAUUCAUGAAGUUUUUUUUUCUUUUCUGAAUUUGCUUCUUUUUCAAUUUUAUGAUUUUUUUUGGAGAAGUCAACCAUCAACUAUAGAACAACCAAAGGUGAACAGUCAAAGAGUCAACUUGUCAACCUAUCCAACCUUGGUUUCAGAAUCAACAUGUCAAACUGAGCGAGCCAGGAAUUCACAUGUUGGGCUGGCCCACGUGAGGAGGUGCAUGAGCGCCACUUGGGCAACUUGGCACGUAAGGCGCCAAACAUGAGGUCUUGAGGAUGCUUGGGAGGUAUCCAUAUAGUGGGCCAGCUCCAUGGGCCAGGGGUCCGCACUGUUCAUGCAUGCCUCUCGCUGGAGUAGGAUGCCCGUCGGAGAUGAAUGUGCCUUGGAGGACAAGUUGCGAACCCCUACAACCGACAAUGCAUAACUCGGUUGGGAUCUUUGUAACCCUAGAUCUCAUCAUCCUUUAUAAGGUGAGACCAAGGGAUAGCUUAGUGAGCGACCACGCCUUUUCCCUUUUGAAGCGGGGUCAACCAUCUCCUAAAAUAACAUCUGAGGAACCAAUGACCUGAGAUAAACUUUAGGCUGCGUUUGGCAGCAAGGUUUUUUUUAAAUUUUCGGAGAAUACUGUGGUUUCUAGAAAAAACCAUGGUUUUGGAAACUUUGAUGUGUUUGGCUUCAGAAAAACUGAAGUUCUGUAAACCACAGUAUCUCAGAAACCAAGGUAUUUUUGCUGUUUCGGAAAAAGAGGUCCCGAGCUCUUUUUUCUAAACCGAACGGCGCAGUUGACGUCCCCGUCUAUAUCCAAAUGAGAUCGCCUCCUACUUUUCCUCUGACUAUUAUCUCGCUAACGAAUUCGAUUAUAUCUCCUGCUUAUUAGCUGAUUCUGUUUGAUUCACGUACGUUCUCUUCUCGGGUGCUUCUUCUUCCAGCCGGCGUCACCUGCAAGUCUCCCUCUCCCAUCUCCUCCGUCGGCCAUGAGUCAAUCAAUCCCACCACCAGGGAAAAAAGGUAUGCGCUCAUCUAUGCCCUUUCCGAUGAAUGCAAUACUGCCACAAGGGGCGGCAUAUUGAAUAUACUCCAUGCUGAUCUUCCAAGGAGUAGAUGUCAACGUGGGCUAAUUUACGAGGGCAGUGAUUAGUUUCCAGUGAUCUUCCAAGCUUCUUGCUUCUCGGUCGUGUACUUGUACGCCUAUUAAUUUCCGGCAAGUAGCGCAUGUCUUGAGUAGUUCAUGGAGUAGAUCGAUUGGUCUGUUUGAAGAACACUCGUACGCACAAAGCUUUGCUAGGUAGCCAAUGCAGUACCAACGGCGCACGUACACGCACAUAUAAUUUUGGCCGGACUGAAAGUACACGCACAUAUAGAAAACAAUAUAUGAUGGUAACACUCCUAAGAUUGCAUUGCUUUAAUCUAGUUGAUUAAUGAACUAUGAUGUACGUCCUGGUUAAAUUAAUCUUGCUAUUGAACGCCGGCUGAUUGAUCUAUUUCUUGCACUUGUCUAGUUAGCUCAACAUCUAACUAUAGUCAUGUUGAGUACGUACAUCAUCUUUUACUUGGCGACGCAUCAUAUUGUCUUGCUAUGAUUAUAUGCCAAUCUUCAACUAACAAUUAAAAAACAAUUGCAGAGCCAAAAAGGGACAGAGCAGCAUGGACUAAUGGCCGCUUAGCUUUUCUAGUGUCAAUGAUGAAAGAGUACUCAGAUGUGGGGAAGUACCGUGGCCAAAAUGGGUGGACAAAGGAAGGAUGGCAGGCUAUGAAAGACCGAUUAAAUGCGAGACCUCCUGGAGCUAAUUUUACUGUUCAACAGCUGAAAGAUAGGGAGCAAAGGCUGAAGAAGGAACUGAAUGUCGUCAAGUCUAUUGAGGAAAAGAGUGGAUUUGGUUGGGAUCCCAAGAACAAAGUUCCAACGGCUUUAGAUGAAAAAUGGGAGGAGCUAUCAACUGAACACCGCAAGUGGAGGCACAAACCAUUCCCAUACUAUGAUGUUCUAUAUGAAAUUCAUGAAGGUUUGUUUCUGACAAUGAUUAAAAUUAAGAAGUUACUCCUAUCAUGUCACUUAUUAGUCACCUAAUUUGUAUGCAGGUAAAAUGGCAGAAGGCAAGCGUUGCAAAAGGACAACUGAUGGUACUGAAGAGAGGUACAAGAAUAUGUCCCAUCUUCCUGAACAUGGAACCUAUACUGAUGAUGUUAUGAGGGCUUCUAGUAUGGAUACUCCUGAGGCAACACUAUUUGCUCCGGGAUCAACAAUCCCAGAAUAUGACUGGGGUGGAAAUAUAUAUGGUGAUGAUGUUGAUUUAUCAUAUGGUGGAUAUUCAGAACCUCUAGGGAGUAAUGAAAAUCAUGUUUCAGCAGUAGAAGAUUUAACAAGUGUGGAUUCACCUCGAAGGAAGAGGCUUCAGAAUUCAAAAGGAUCCGAUGAUGGAAGUGAGAAAACUAAGGGAAAAAGAGGCAAGGACAUUGUGUUGGCCAACUUGGUUUCUGUGAGGGAAGAAGAAAUGCAGACUUAUAAGGAAAUGAAGACAAAGCAAAUUGACACCUACAAGGAAAUCAAGAUGGCCCAAAUGGAAAGGAAUGACCCCAAAAAUGAUCCUUAUGGCAUGCCAAACUGUAUUCAGAAACUUAGAACAUUGGGACUCACUCCAAGUGACCAACACAAGAUGAUUAACCAUCUGAAAGAAGAUAUGCUAAACCGUCAAACAUUCAUGGAAGUAGACGAUGAUGUUCUUUCCGUGAUUAUCAAAGAAGUGGUGGCCCCGCAUGUCUGAAGGUUACCAAAGCAGGAGACAUUUUAUUUAAUCAUGUUACCAUUUCAUUAUACGUUCGUUUAGUGUCAUCUUUCAUGAAUCGUUGCCAAUUAAGUAGUAUCAUGUUUCUUUCUAUAUUGUGAAUAAAGGAAGCACAAUAACUAUAUUGAUUCUUUUUAUUCAUUCCUCGUAUACAAUAUUAAUAUUCUGCUUAUUUUAUUGUACUCAUGAGACAUCCAACCUACCGGGAAAAAUUUGCUAAAAUAUAUGAAUUUAUUUUAUUCAGUACACUUCUGAACAAAAACAUAUAUAAAAAGGAGAGCAAAUGAAAGUCAUGCAGUAUUUCUUCUAGUCCGUCUGAAAUAGUCUUGAUAGUCAUUCCACAUGGCAUUGGCUAUUUCAUCCCUUUUUGUGCUACCUAGUGCUCGUCGCUCAUUGAGAGAAUGUAUGUCAUUUGUAUACUUCAUAUCUCCACUUGGAACAUCAAUUAUUUUUACUGGAUCAAUCUCUGAUUCAACUUGGUCCAACCAUUGUUCGCCACCCUCAUUACUACAAAUGAAAUUAUGAAGAGCACAACAUGCUAUCGCAAUUUCUGCUUGCGAGUCGACGGGGUAUUGCGAUGCACAUUUUAGUAUUGGGAAACGCUUCUUCAGAACUCCAAUUAUACGCUCAACAUGAUUACGAAGUUGUGCAUGCCUUAGGUUGAAUAGUUCUCGAGGAUUCUGCGGCCGCUGAUUGCAUUUAGCCUGCUCCACCAAAUGGUACCUUACAUUGCGAUAAGGUGCAAUAAAAUUAGGCGUAUUCGCAUAACCAGCACCCACCAAAUAAAACUUUCCUUCGGGGAGAUAGAAGUUAUUUUCAAGAGCAUCUUGUAGAACACGAGCGUCAGAAGCGGAACCUUCCCAUCCGCUGCUGACAUGGACAAAACGAUUAUCAAAAUCACAUGCAACCAUAACAUUUUGUGACAGUGUUCCCUUUCUGUUACAAUAUGGAUCUUGGUCAUUUGGUGAUAUGCUAAUUGGAAUAUGUGUUCCAUCUAUUGCUCCAAUACAAUCCUACAAAAAAAAUUACGUACAAUGAAAACUUUGUAUUUAUAUAUGGUUAUAGCACUGAAGGGUUAAAAGGUGAAUAAUACCUUGAAAUAUGGCAUAAAUUUUGUAUUGCUUGCAACUUUGAGAGGAACAUUAAUUGGAGGCAACUGUAUUAUACUUCCUGACAAUAUCAUGAGGGCGUUCAACACAAUAUGGAAAUAGCGACUUAUGACCUCACCACUAUGCUGAAAUUGCCCUUGGAGUGUACGAUUGGUUGCAUUCUUUGAAACGGCAUAUAAAAAUAUGCCUACUUGUUCUUCCACUGAGACAAAAUUUGUAUCUCUUAGAUGGCAUCUUUCUCGAAGGCACUGGACUAAGUUACGAAAAAUAUACUGCUCCAUCCGAAAAUCUCGUUUGCAUCUCAAUUCAUGACCUUCUAGAACUUCUCGCACGUAUCGAUCUCCCGUAAGGAUGGAUGUAUGUAUACGUGUGUGGUUGGCCGAGCUUCUAUCAUUAGCAUACAAAGCUUCGAUGAUAGCUAAUUCAUCAUCUUCUCUACGUUUGUGCAUCAAAAAAUUACCCAACAUUCUGAUUGACAAUAUAACACACCUACACAAAUAUGCAUAUGACAUCUCAGGUAUACACUUUCCUAGAUCCCCCAACCCUCGAAAAAAAUGAUUGAUAAUAGAACAUACCUGCUAACUUGCUGUAGAUCACAUUUGUAAAUCAGGAGAAACUUGUUGUGUGAAGACUAGAAUAUCUUGCGAUUGUGUGUUCGUUUGAAGAGGGGUAUAUAUAGGUGGAUUAGUUCAAGUCUUCAACACUAGUGGACCAAGCAAAGGCCAUACGUGAUUCUAGGAUAGACAUAUUCUAGGUUAGGUGACAUGCAUGUAGAUGCAGCAGAGAUAGACAUUUUCUAUAGAUCCUAGCAUCUAGGUCGGGCGGACGUGUGCAUGCAUGGCGGCUGCAUGCAGCCAGCCACCGUUAGCAGCGCCUAAAUACUCAGUCAUGCAUGCUAAAUACCUGGUCAAAACUUUGAUAAAACAGCACCAACCAAACACAUGUAAAAACUGAGAAAAGCGUUGGUUUUUAGAAACUGUGGUAUUACUCGCCCACCGAUGGGAAUACUUUGGUUUUCAAUUACAACAGUUUUCUAAAAACUUUGCUGCCAAACUAGGCCUUAGUAACCAUCUUCAGUUGCACUAACCACAUUGUCAUCAUACCAAAAAACAAUUUAGGAACAAAUGUACUUUCACAUGCCAAUUCCAAAACUUAGCCAGGGUUUGCAAAUGUCCUAAGUUGGUAGUUUUCAACAUAUGGUGGAAACAACAAGAAGGAUUUAUCAUUUUUCAAUGGGGUUUGUGGGGAAAAUGUGCCGGAUGUUGUAGGCAACGACGAUAGUGUUGAUUCUUGGCUUGAGCACGAUGAGAACAAUGUGAUCUAGAAUGAAACCGCAAAGCUCGUACUCAGGUGCUUAACUGAAAGUUGAAUUACACGAUGUCUGAUAUUGCAAACAAGUAAGUGUUCGGAGGUUCCGAGCACUUAUUUCACAUCAUUACUAGAGGUAAAAAUAAAUUCUAAGUCCACCAGUAAAAAAUAACACUUCAAAAUUUGCUCUAUUUUGUGACGCUUCACUUGUCACGUAUAACCGUUUUUCGUCGCGGAAAAUACACGGAUGCCGUUUUCCGACCAUCACCCCCACCAUUACCGAAGCGCCGUCAUAAAAAAAUAUUUUUUGACUGUACCACUUUUUUGAUCACGACAAGAUCGCAUUUUAGGUGAAGAAACAAAAAAUGUCACCGAUGACCGUUUUCGAUGACGACCCAGAAUGUUACAUAUGAUAGCCCAAUCUGUCGCCUAAGAUCUUUUUUUGGCGACGAUAAUCCCGUCGCUGGUGAUUGGUCCACAAGUUUGAUCGGUCGAAGAUUCUGACAGGUGGGGCCAACACUUGGUGACGUGGCUUCUUCCAUGUUGGUCCGCCCUGGGUUUUAUCGCCGACGGUCCCGUCAGUAAUAAGGCCUCAGUUUUGACCGGUCAACGCUGCUGACCUAUGGCCCCAUAAGAUGCCGGCGUGGCUACUUACAUGUGGGACCAGACAUUGGUGACGUCAUGCAUUUAUGUCACAAUUACCGUCGCACGUAGAAAAAAGUUGUAAUUCAUAUUAUUAAUUUUGCUAGCGAAUCUGUAUUAAAUUUAUAAUUUUACAAAAACGAUUCAAAAAUUGAAUCGAUGGAAAAUGAGAAUCAAACAUUGGCAACAUAUCUUUCAUUGUAAGUGAAACCUGACAUUUUACAAGGAGAAGCAGACGACAUAGUCUCGGAUAAAGGAAAGUUAAGUUGACUAUAAGCAUGAGGCCUUCGAUGUUUUUCAGACAUUGUCUUGUGCUGACUGCAUGGACUUCCUUAAGCAUUGCCUCCAUAUGUCUUUGUCUUUUUUCAAAGAUAGUGGAUUUCUUCUGCUGAUCCAUCUUGAAUCUCUUCUAGCUGCUUCUUCUUGAGUUCUUUAAUUUUUACUAUUUGAGCAAAAAAUAUUUCAUUCAGCUCUUCAUGAAAGAUAUCACUUGCCUUUUUUGCAUUUGCCUCCUGAGUUGCAAUGAUGUGUUCUAGCUCAUGGAUGUGUUCACAAGAGGAUGAAUUUUUCCGGGAGGAGGAUAAUAUGCCCAUGCUCGAAAGUAACGUGCUUGAGGAGCUCUUUUCCUCAAUGAUUUCUACAUCAGGUAUUGCUGCCAUAUCAAGCUAUUUUGAUGGUGUAUGUUUGAUCCUCGAUUCAUUCUGCAAUAUGAAUGCUGUCACCGUUAGAGCAAUGUUUGAUAGUUUAAAUAAUUAUGGUCAUACUAUACAUUUGAAGCCAACAAAUUAGGCAGUACUUACGAUUUGUUUUUUUUGCAGUCAGACUCAAUGUAGGAUCUUUCUUUGUAGUGCAUGUACAUUCAAGCAAGUCUCCACUGGAUCGAUUAUCAACGUUGUCCUUAGGCUUAUAUCACAUUUAUCAAUUGGUAAACAUUAAUACUCCAAGCAAUAUAGUAAUCCAACAUAAAGCUUUUGCAAUAAGGUACUACAAAUACUUACCAUAUGUCUAAAGUGGGAAUCACGUUUUGUAGGUGCAGUGUUUUAGCUUAGCUUCACAAUAGAUGGUUUUCCUUGUUUCUUGGCACGAAGUUCCUACAACAUGAAGCCCAAAUUUAGUAUGAUUUGUCCAGAAGUACAGAUUGAUAAGUUGAAGAGCGACGAGUGUGUACUAUAUACAUUGGAGUGAUCCUCACACCACUGGUCCACAAGUUUCUACCAAUUUUCUUCAUUUAUAUACUCACGCUUCAACGAUAUAGCCUGCUCACGGGUGCGUUUUUACCUUCUUCUAGUAAUUGUUUCUAUCUGGAAUAUCGCGACCACAUUUCCUCAUAAUACCAAUUCACAUUUCUGCAGCAAAUAUGUCCUUUGGGUCAGUAUGAAUCUUUCUCUGCCAAAAACAUACACCCAUUUAGGAUAGAACAUAUGCACUUCUAGUCUUAAUAAACGUUUGAAGGAACAAGUUCAAUUUGUAGAUGAAUUAGCAAUUCGGAAAGAAAGUUUAACCAUGUGAAUAGAUGGGUCAUUCACUUUAGAUCUUGUUGCAGUUGAAGAUGAUGGUACAUCGGCUAUAGUUUGCUUCUUCCAUAGUGCCAGUGUACAAUCAUACAUUGCCUGCCCAAAUGUACUUGAAGACAUAGUUUAGAAACAAAAAUCUAGAACUGGCACUAAUCUGAUGUACAAGAAAUAUGUACCCGAGAAGUAGUUUUCUGAUGAUUACCAGGACCUUGACCUAUAUCAAUAUGACUGGCAUCAUCUGAACCCUAUGAAUCCAUAUCAAUUUCGUAGACAAAAUCUUUUUUCAGCGCAUGGGCUAUAGGAUAAUCGUCCUCCGGUGUUUCUUCUUUAAUCCUGCAAUACAGAUGUACUGGUUUGGCUGCAGCAAUUGUAGAGUUAGACAAGAUUUGUUAGUACGCAUGGUCGUCAAUACUAUGAACAAAGAUUCAGAGGGUUCCACAUACUCCAUAAGUAGAUUGUAAUAGUAAGAAUAAGAGGUAUUAAUGCACUACCAAAUCUAGAACAACAUGUUAUCUCAAGAAGAAGAAAUCAUUCAAUUAUCAAAACAACACACAAGAUUUAAUAAGAACGUGCAUACUAAAUUACUAUACCCCUACUUAGAACUAGCUGCAAUACCCGAUAUAAUACGGCUCAUUUAUUAAGACACUACAUACUAAAUUGGUAUAACCCUAGAUAUAAUUAGCUAUUGUACGGAGCCGGCAAUUUGAUUGCUUCCUUGAAGGAUAACAUGUGAACACGUACUAGCAUGUGCAGAUCUUAAACGGGNNNNNNNNNNNNNNNNNNNNNNNNNNNNNNNNNNNNNNNNNNNNNNNNNNNNNNNNNNNNNNNNNNNNNNNNNNNNNNNNNNNNNNNNNNNNNNNNNNNNNNNNNNNNNNNNNNNNNNNNNNNNNNNNNNNNNNNNNNNNNNNNNNNNNNNNNNNNNNNNNNNNNNNNNNNNNNNNNNNNNNNNNNNNNGAGCUGUUACCUGCUAGUCUAGGAUUAGGUUUUGGGGUCGACGGGGGAAGGGUAUGUUGUUUGCCGCUUUGAAGCACGCCGGCCAUGCCGGACGCUUGGGAGGGAUCCAUUUGGCCGCCAUAAGUGGACUUGAUCUGGGGAGGAAGAGACAUACGAGGGGACGGUGCGAAUGAGGUUGUGGGUUUAUUUGGUUAAUUGGGAAGAAGCUUUAUACGGUGGGUGGGGAAAAAUGAGCACGACAUAUAAAUUAGUUGGAGGGAACGAAAAAGGAAAAUAUUAAUGGAACGUGGAACCUUUUUUUGAGUAAAAGGUAGGUGGAAAUUAAUUUGCGUGCACAUACACAUUUCCUAAUUUUCCAUCAAAAAAUAUAUAAUCCAACAUCAAUACGUUCAAAAAAUUGUGAAACUUGGCAUGUGGUCUCAUUAUGGAUGUAUUACCUACGACAAAAAAUGUUACAAAAAAUGGCAAAUGUUUUGGUGACGUUUAGAUUACAAGAGGUUUAUUUGUUACGCCAAGGUCUAGUGAACAAGUUUGCAAUGAACCAUUCUUUUCCUUGUACAUGACAAACAUGCAAUAAUUUAGGUUAGCUCUUUGUCCAUGUGAAAUUUGAACAGCCGUUACCACUUGACAUGUUCCGAUGGUUGUUCACUCCCCAUUUCAAAAUCUAGAUGCUAAGCCCUUUGUACCUCGUAGUAACACUACUUCCAUACCCCUAGUGCACUCAUGUGUUCUCCUUGAUUCAAACAACUUAUUGUAGAUGUGUUCUCUCAUUCAAUGUGGUAUUUCCUUUCAUUUUCCACAUACUGAAAACCAUUACAAGAUCUAUUUGCUACACCCGUUUGUACCUCGCACUAACACUACUUCCAUACCCCUAGUGCACUCAUGUUCUCCUUGAUUUAAAUAACUUAUUUCAGAUGUGUUUUCUCAUUCAAUGUGGUAUUUCCUUUCAUUUUCCAGGUAUUCAAAACCAUUUCAAUAUCUAUUUUCUACGACCUUUCAUACCCCUAGUAAAACUACUUCCAUACCCUAGUGCACACGUGUUGUCUAGAUUAAAACAACUUAUUGUUGUAAGUAUUAUAUGGCAAAAGGUGGUUUUCUGCCUAGUCAUGAUUCCAAAUUUGAUCUUUCUUGUAUGGGGUAUUAACUUCGACGUGUUAAGCAUGUACAAAAUGCAGACAAGAAAAUGCAAUAUCUGUGGAUGUGGUUUUCUUCGUAACGUGUACAUGAAUGAACCAAUAUAUGUGUGUAGUGUGCACAAGUGGAAGUAAGAUGCAUGUUAAAUUUGCCAUGUCUACUUGUCAGAUACAUCUAGCAUUCACCGUGAUUGCUUGUUGGCUUGAACUAAUCAUAUGUCAAUGUGCUCCGCAUAUGACUGAAUAAAUCAAUUGUUUUGUCAGAUAAUUCAGUUGUACUUUCAGGCAGUGGACAUGCGUACUUCAGAACAAACAUAGACAAUUUGGUCGCCACGUCAAUUGUGGAACUCAUUUGCUGCAAUUGAUUGUUGAUUUGUAGAAAUCAUAUGGCAUUGAGCUUUGCAUAUGAUUAAAUGAAACACGUAAAAGUCUAGACGUGAAGAUCAAUUCUUUUUUUCAUAAAGUUCAAAUUUAUUUUAGAUAGUGGACAUGCCUACUUCAGAACAAACAGAUCGCACUGUGGUCGACACAUCAAUUCUGCAUGAAUUUGCAACACAUUUGCACACAAUUUUCAGACUAAAGCACAUGAAGAGAUAACACAUUCAUUCCUCAAACAUUUUGAGCAUGAAUCUGGAGAUGAAAGGUAAUUAAAUUAGAGAGGAAUUUAUCCUCUACUUAAAACAUGUCCCUGCACUUAUACUAGUCAUCGACGUCUACUAAUACUUUAGUGUGCUACCCGCUUUCAUCACCGUCAUUUCCUCUUCCCAGAGAGCCCGGUCGGCGAUGUCGCGGAUCUCCUCGAGGGCGUGCCAUUUUUCAUCAUAGAACUGCGCCUUGCUUUUGUCGGGGCCAAGGAAAUCAUGUAUGCGAUUUCGUAGGACCAACGAAGGACGGCGGAGUACGUCUCACGAUCAAUUUGAUUGGUGACGAGGCUCUCGAACAACGCCUACAAGGCGGCAGACAGAUGCAACUCCUCCAACACCAUCGGAGGCAGCUCCGUCGCAAUUGCUGGAAGCAAAUCGCUGAUCGUCGGAUCAUCGUCGUCGUACUUAUAGUCGUCGUCCAUCUCCAUCUCCUCAUGUUGGUCGUAAGUAGCAUCAUCGCACGGUCCUCCACCAUCAAUGCCUCCUCUUGUGCAACCUCACUUCACACGGCUUCGAGGUCCUUGGGGGAAGGAACUAAUGGGGAGCGAGACCGAGAGAGUAUGGGCCAUGGAGAUGGACGGCUGGAUAUCAGGUGAAUCCAUCCGCCGUUGUUGCAGGUGGUGAUUUUCAGAUAAACCAUGGCCGGGGGCUGGUAUGUGCAACGUUUGCUCGCCGGAAUUGGCCGGCGCGAGGUGGUUCUAUAGGUGGGAAGGCGGGAAAAAUAGGGGAAAAUACGCGAAGAAGCUAGACGAGGGAGGGAAGCUUCUAGAUUCGCGAGUGGCGUGGCAUUGGUUUGGCGACGUGUGGUCAGCUGGGUACGCCAGAAAGGAUGCAAAGAGGCAUCCCAUAUCAGCAAGGAGCAACUUCCCUACCGAUAGCUCAUCCUAAAAGAACUCCAAGUUAAGUGUGCUGGGGCUGGAAAAGUCUGAGAAUGGGAGACCAGAUGGGAAAUGUCAUCGAGGUUAGUUAGGUGAUGGGAUGAGUCACUAUAAACAUUUAAGUGUUUGCAAAAACAUUUAAGUGUGUACAAAACCAGUUCUGCACACACUUAAAUGUGUAUAGUGAUCCGUCAUGUCGCCCAAAUUAACCUUGAGCUCCUUGUUUUGAAAAUUUUGAGAAUGAUUUUUUGUUUUUGAAGACAUGUUAAUUGGCUUGGAGAAGGUCUAUCGUGUUACUUUAUGACAUUUCCCAAUGUGAUAUGACUUUGCUCAACUUUAAGUCCUGUCUGACAAAUUAACAUCGAAGUACUUGUUGAAAAUUUUGAGAAUGAUUUUUUGUCAGCUUUUCAUUCUUGUCUAUUAAAUUAACCUCCUAGUCAUUUUUUUCACAAUUUUCAAAAUAUAUUUUUCAUCUUUCAAGACAUGUUUACUAAAUUCUAGAAGGCCUAUGUCAUUACUUCAUGACAUGUUUCCAACAUGUCAUAUGAGUUUGGUCAACUUUUGAAGAAUGUAUGUGGCAUUCUCAUAGGUGUCAUAGGUCUGAUUGACAACCCCUAUUAGCAAACUGCAUAUUCCCUUUUGGUACCUCAUUCUCAAAAGAACUUGAAUGUUAAGCGUGUUGUGGCUGGAGCAGUCCGAGGAUGGGUGACCGACUGAGAAGUGGCUAUGCCUCGAGGUUGAUUGAAUCGAUCUGGUAGAGUCAUUGUAAACAUUGUAUAAAUGUUUACAAGGCCCUAUCACAUAUUUUAAAAUAAUUUCAUAACUCCUUGUUUUUGAAAAUUUUAGGAAUGUAUUUUAGUUAUUUUAUCGAUUUUGUGUUCAUUUCAUUGAUGAAAAUGUCCCACAAGUCUCCUCCAUUGUGAUUUUAUUUCAAUGGAAAAAGUUAAACAUAAAAAAGGUGUUUCACACAUUUUCUGUUAUUUCACAUGUAUUUUCCUUAUCCCUUGAUUACAAAAUGCAUGUUGCAUUUUAUCCUAAUAUUUUUUUGUUACAACUAACAUGUGGGACCAAACCAUAGAUAUGCCCGUGGAUAGUCCCAUCAGCUUCAUCAUCUCUAUUCAUCUCCUUCACUAAACCCCCCAACUCACCAGCGUAUAGUCCCAAAUCUAGUAUCUCGCCCCCUCUCGCCACCUGUCGCCAGCGGGUAUCGCAACCAUGCUUCAUUACAGGUUCAUCUAUGCUAACGAUGAUUGCUGCCAUCUUUCCCCGUAGAUCAGACACACCUACGAGGGUAGCCGCCUAUCGCUGACGCUUGUCGUGGUUCAGGACUCCCCGUCCCCAAGAAAACCCUAGGUCGUGAGGCGCAAUCAGACCAAAUGAAGGUAAGUCUUCAUAUACAUCUGCUUAUUCGAUGCAAAUGACCUUAAUCAACUACAGAUCAACUCUAGACGCUAUUUAUGAAAUAAUCGUGGGUUUGGAUAUGAAGUGUCGGAAGUGUUUGUACACCCGGAAUCUCCGUGGUCUCCCCUAUGUUCGGAAUGACAAAUACCUCCGCAUCACACUUCCGCAAGUUUUCAGAGAAAUUACGGUAUGGUUCUUAGAUUUGAAGUGUAUCAAACAUGUCUUUCAUGUGUUUCGUUAAGUUCCGAAGAUUCUCUGCAUGUGGAUUUUAACACAUAAAUGCUGAUAGAUUUAAUGAUUGGUUCGUAAGUACAAAAGUCAGCUUGUGAGUUCAACAUAAAUCAUGCUUAUAAUGGAAAUAUCUGAAAAUAGGUAGACCUAACUUAUGACAGUUUGGUCGCCAUGUCAAUUUUGGAACUCAUUUGCUGCAAUUGAUUGUUUAUUUGUAGAAAUCAUAUGGCAUUGUGCUCUGCAUAUGAUUAAAAGAAAUAGGUAUAAGUAUGGACGUGAAGAUCAAUUAUUUUUUCAUAAAGUUCAAUUUCUAUUUCAGAUAGUGGACAUGCCUACUUCAGAACAAACAUAUCGCACUGUGGUCGACACAUCAAUUCUGCAUGAAUUUGCAACACAUUUGCACACAAUUUUCAGACUAAAGCACAUGAAGAGAUAACACAUUCAUUCCUCAAACAUUUUGAGCAUGAAUCUAAAGAUGAAAGGUAAUUAAAUUAGAGAGGAAUUUAUCCUCUACUUAAAACAUGUCCCUGCACUUAUACUACUCAUCAACGUCUACUAAUACUUUGGUGUGCUGCCCGCUUUCAUCACCGUCAUUUGCUCUUCCUGGAGAGCCCGGUCAGCGAUGUCGCGGAUCUCCUCGAGGGCGUGCCAUUUGUCGUCAUAGAACUGUGCCUUGCUUUUGUCCGGGCCGAGGUAAUCUUGUAUGCGAUUUCGUAGGACCGACGAAGAAUGGCGGAGUCCAUUUCACGAUCAAUUUGAUCAGUGAAGAGGCUCUCGAACGAUGCCUACAAGGCGGCGGACAGAUGCGACCGUGAUGACUCCUCGAGGGCCUGGCAUCUUGAGCUUGAGGUAUGCGUAGUGCGGCACCGCGUUGAACUUUGCAAACGCGGUAUGUCCGAGCAGAGCAUGAUAGCCGCUGUGGAACGGAACUAUGUCAAAGAUUAACUCCUCGCUUCAGAAGUUAUCCGGGGAUCCGAAGACCACUUCCAGUGUAACUGAGCCUGUACAAUUGGCCUCUACACCUGGUAUGACGCCUUUAAAGGUCAUCUUUGUGGGUUUAAUCCUUGAGGGGUCUAUGCCCAUUUUGCGCACUGUAUCCUGAUAAAGCAGGUUCAGGCUGCUGCCGCCGUCCAUCAGGACUCUGGUGAGGUGAAAUCCAUCAAUGAUUAGGUCUAGCACCAAUGCGGCGAAUCCGCCGUGGCGGAUGCUGGUGGGGUGGUCCCUUCAAUAAAAAGUGAUCGGGCAAGAGGACCAUGGGUUGAACUUCGGGGCGACUGGCUCCAUCGCGUAUACAUCCCUAAGUGCAUGAUUCCGCUCCCUCUUGGGUAUGUGGGUUGCGUAUAUCAUGUUCACCGUCCGCACUUGUGGGGGGAAACCCUUCUGUCCUCUAUUGUUCAGCGGUUGGGUCUCUUCCUCGUCAUCGCUAUGCAGCCCCUUGUCGUUGUUUUCGGCAAUUAACUUGCCUGCCUGCUUGAAUACCCAACAGUCCCUGUUGGUGUGGUUAGCCGGCUUGUCAGGGGUUAUUCGGUCUAGAUUGGACGGACCCGGAGUAGUUCUUUUGAAUGGCUUUUUCCGCUGACCGGAUUUAGAGCCUCUGAAUCCGACAUUGACUGCCGUAUCCUCGCUAUUGUCGCCGUUAAUGCGGUGUUUGUUUUUAUUGCGACGCGACCGGCCAUUGCAGUCCUUGAUAUCCGGACUGCCAGAAUUUUUGCUAUUGUUGUUGCUGCGGGCUAGCCAGCUGUCCUCACCUGCGCAGAAGCGGGUCAUGAGUGAUGUCAGGGCUGCCAUGGAUUUUGGCUUUUCCUGCCCCAAGUGCCGGGCAAGCCACUCAUCACGGAUGUUAUGUUUGAAGGCCCCGAGGGCCUCUGCAUCCGGACAGUCGACGAUUUGAUUUUUCUUAGUUAAGAACCGUGUCCAGAAUUGUCUGGCCGAUUCGUUUGGCUGCUGAAUUAUGUGGCUUAGGUCGUCAGCGUCUGGUGGUCGCACAUACGUGCCCUGGAAGUUAUCAAGGAAUGCGGCUUCCAGGUCCUCCCAACUCCCAAUUGAUUCUGCUGGUAAGCUGUUAAGCCAAUGCCGAGCUGGUCCUUUAAGCUUGAGUGGGAGGUAUUUGAUGGCGUGGAGAUCAUCACCGCGGGGCAUGUGGAUAUGAAGGAGAUAGUCUUCGAUCCAAACCGCGGGGUCCGUUAUGCCAUCAUAAGAUUCAAUAUUCACGGGUUUAAACCCUUCGGGGAUUUGAUGAUCCAUUACUUCAUCUGUGAAGCAUAGUGGGUGUGCGGCGCCUCUGUAUUGGGCUAUAUCACGACGAAGCUCAAAAGAGUUUUGUCUACUGUGUUCGGCCUGGCCGGACUUGCUGUGUCCGGCGCGAUGGUUGUCGUCGCGUAUCAUGGGGCGCCCCCGCGAUCCGUAGAUCGAUCUUGAUUGUCUUGCCUAAUCCUCCAAUAUGUCUCGCAAGUCCGGAGCGUUCCCCUGUGGUCUUGUGCUUUUCGAGCGAUGCCGGGGUACGGUUCUAAUGGAGGGCCUAGAGGCCUCUUUGUCGCGGCCACGGGGUGGCCGGUCAGCCGUAUCGUGCUCUGGAGAUGCGGGUUUAUAUGCCUCCUCCUCUAAUCGGGGUAGCAGCUUGCAUUUGGGGUAGCUUUUGGAGGGGCGUUCGAGCUCAUGCUCUUCGGCCGCAAGGACUUCAGUCCAUCUGUUGGCUAGCAGAUCUUGAUCAGCUCUAAGCUAUUGCUGCUUUUUCUUGAGGCUGUUUGCCGUGGCCAUAAGCCUGCAUUUAAAACGCUCUUGUUUGGCGGGAUCCUCAGGCACGACAAAUUCGUCGUCGUCGAGGCUUUCCUCGUCUCCGGAGGGAGGCAUGUAAUUAUCAUUCUCUACCUCUUCGUCUGCUGCUCUCUCGUGAUGCUGGCGUCUCCAUCCUCCUGUGCUGAAUCUUGCUGUAGGGGGUUGUCUUCGGCACUGUCUGGGGUGUUAUUAUCUUUGGUGCCGGAAUCUCCAUUCUUGCUUUGGCGGGAUUUAGAGCGGCGCCGCUGACGCCGGUGUUUGGGUUGUUUCUUAGAGGGGUCAUCCUCCUCUGUUCCUCCGCCGUUCCCAUCCUUUGGGAUAUCCACCAUGUACAUGUCAUAUGAUGAGGUGGCUUUCCAGUACCCGGUAGGCGCUGGUUCUUGGUCAUCUCCGGCAUCGUCGUCCAUACCGUCGAUGUCUUCUGAGUCAAAGUCUAGCAUGUCGGUUAGAUCGUAGACAGUGGCUACUAAGUGGGUGGUGGGUGGGGCUUUGAAUUUCUUCGUCGUCCGCAUCCCAACCGUCCUGACCGCAAUCCGGCCAGGGCUCUCCUGAUAACGAGAGAUACUUUAGCGAACUCAAGAUGUCGCCGAAAGGUGAGUGCUGAAAGAUGUCCGCAGCGGUGAACUCCAUGAUCGGCGCCCAAUCGGAUUCCAUUGGAGGGGGCGCGGGAGGUUCGAAGUCCGGCGAGGAGUCCGGCACCUCGGAGUCACGAGCUUCAUGAGGGACAAGGUCAGUGUUCGGCUCUAUCGCCGUAGAGGUUGCAGCCCCCGAGGCGGUGUCUAGCCACCCGUCCUCGAUCUGCGCAGCCGGCUCCGAAUUGAAGAUCGGAGCGGACUCAUGUGCGGCCUCCAGGGCACCGUCCGGCUACAGAGCUAAAUCAUGCCCAUCGUGACAGUGCGACACGCUCGGCUGUGGUUCAAAUCCAUCGAAGAUCAAGUCUCCGCGGAUGUCAGCCGUGAAGUUCAAACUUCCAAAUCUGACCUGACGGCCAGGGGCGUAGCUUUCGAUCUGCUCCAGAUGGCCAAGCGAAUUUUCCCGCAGUGCAAAGCCGCCGAAUACGAAGAUCUGUCCGGGGAGAAAAGUCUCAUCCUGGACCGCAUCGUUGGUGAUGAUUGAAGAAGCCAUCGAGCCUAUCAGUGAUGACACAGAGGAACUCUCAAUGAAAGCACCAAUGUCGGUGUCAAAACCGGCGGAUCUCGGGUAGGGGGUCCCGAACUGUGUGUCUAGGCGGAUGGUAACAGGAGACAAGGGACACAAUGUUUUACCCAGGUUCGGGCCCUCUUGAUGGAGGUAAAACCCUACGUCCUGCUUGAUUGAUAUUGAUGAUGUGGGUAUUACAAGAGUAGAUCUACCACGAGAUCAAGGAGGCUAAACCCUAGAAGCUAGCCUAUGGUAUGAUUGUUGUUUGUCCUACGGACUAAAGCCAUCCGGUUUAUAUAGACACCGGAGAGGGAUAGGGUUACACAGAGUCGGUUACAAUGGUAGGAGAUCUACAUAUCCGUAUUGCCAAGCUUGCCUUCCACGCCAAGGAAAGUCCCAUCCGGACACGGGACGAAGUCUUCAAUCUUGUAUCUUCAUAGUCUUGGAGUCCGGCCGAUGAUGAUAGUUCGGCUAUCCGGACACCCCCUAGUCCAGGACUCCCUCAAGGGGAAAAUACGGGAAGAAGCUAGAUGAGGGAGGGAAGCUUCUAGAUUCGCGAGCGGUGUGGCAAUGGGUCGGCGACGUGUGGUCAACUGGGUACGCCAUAAAGGAUGCGAAGAGGCAUCCCAUAUCAACAAGAAGCAACUUCCCUACUGAUAGCUCAUCCUAAAAGAACUCCAAGUUAAGUGUGCUGGGGCUGGAGCAGUCUGAGGAUGGGUGACCAGAUGGGAAGUGUCAUCGAGGUUAGUAAGUUGAUGACAUGGGUCACUGUAAACAUUUAAGUGUGUGAAAAAACAUAUAAGUAUGUACAAAACCGGUUUUGCACACACUUAAAUGUGUAUAGUGAUCCGUCAUGUUGCUCAAAUUAACCUUGAGCUCCUUGUUUUGCAAAUUUUGAGAAUGAUUUUUUGUUUUUUAAGACAUGUUAAUUGGCUUGAAGAAGGUCUAUCGUGUUACUUUAUGACAUUUCCCAAUGUGAUAUGACUUUGCUCAACUUUUAAGUCCUAUCUGACAAAUUAACCUCGAAGUGCUUGUUGAAAAUUUGAGAAUGAUUUUUUGUCAGCUUUUCAUUCUGGUCUGUUAAAUUAACCCCACAGUCAUUGUUUUCACAAUUUUUAAAAUACAUUUUUCGUCUUUCAAGACAGGUUUACUAGAUUCUAGAAGGUCUAUGUCAUUACUUCCUGACAAGUUUCCAAAAUUUCAUAUGAGUUUGGUCAACUUUUGAAGAAUGUUUGUGGCAUUCUCAUAGGUGUCAUAGGUCUGAUUGACAACCCGUGCAUAUUCCCUUUUGGUACCUCAUUCUCAAAAGAACUUGAAUGUUAAGCGUGCUGUGGCUGGAGCAGUCCGAGGAUGGGUGACCGACUGGGAAGUGGCUAUGCCUCGAGGUUGAUUGAAUCGAUCUGGUAGAGUCAUUGAAACAUUGUAUAAAUGUUUACAAGGGCCUAUCACAUAUUUUAAAAUAAUUUUAUAACUCCUUGUUUUUGAAAAUAUUAGGAAUGUAUUCUAGUUAUUUUAUUGAUUUUGUGUUCAUGACAUUGAUGAAAAUGUCCCACAAGUCUGCUCCAUUGUGAUUUUAUUUCAAUUGAAAAAGUUAAAAAUAAAAAAGGUGUUUCACACAUUUUCUGUUAUUUCACAUGUAUUUUCCUUAUCCCUUGAUUACAAAAUGUAUGUUGCAUUUUAUCCUUAUAUUUCUUUGUUAGAGCUAACAGGUGGGACCAAACCAUAGAUACGCCCGCGUAUAGUCCCAUCACCUUUGUCAUCUCUAUUCAUCUCCUUCACUAAACCGCCAACUCACGAGCGUAUAGUCCCAAAUCCAGUAUCUCGCCUCCUCUCACCGCCUGUCACCAGCGGGUAUCGCAGCCAUGCUUCACUGCAGCUUCAUCUACGCCAACGAUGAUUGCUGCCAUCUUUCCUCAUAGAUCAGACACACCUACGAGGGUAGCCGCAUGUCGCUGACGGUUGCCGUGUUUCAGGACUCCCCGUCCCCAAAAAAAACCUAGGCUAUCAGGUGAAAUCAGACCAAAUGAAGGUAAGUCUUCAUAUACAUCUCCUUAUCCGAUGCAAAUGACCUUAAUCCACUAUGGAUCAACUCCAAAUGCUAUUUAUGAAAUAAUCAAGGGUUUCGAUAUGAAUUGUCGGAAGUGUUUGUACACCCGGAAUCUCGAUGGCCUCCCCUAUGUUUAGAAUGACAAAUACCUCCGCAUCACACUUCCACAAGGAUUCAAAGAAAUUAUGGUAUGGUUCUUAGAUUUGAAGUGUAUCAAACAUGUCUUUCAGGUGUUUGGUUAAGUCCUGAAGAUUCUCUGCACGUGGAUUUUAACACAUAAAUGCUGAUAGAUUUCAUGAUUGGUUCAUAAGUACAAAAGUCAGCUUGUGAGUUCAACAUAAAUCAUGCUUAUAAUGGAAAGUAUCUAAAAAUAGGUAGACCUAACUUAUGACAGUUUGGUCACCACGUCCAUUUUGGAACUCAUUUGCUGCAAUUGAUUGUUGAUUUGUAGAAAUCAUAUGGCAUUGUGCUCUGCAUAUGAUCAAACGAAACAGGUAAAGGUCUGGACGUGAAGAUCAAUUAUUUUUCAGAAAGUUCAAUUUCUAUUUUAGAUAGUGGACAUGCCUACUUCAUAACAAACAGGUCGCACUGUGGUCGACAUGUCAAUUCUGCAUGAAUUUGCAACACAUUUGCACACAAUUUUCAGACUAAAGCACAUGAAGAGAUAACACAUUCAUUCCUCAAACAUUUUGAGCAUUAAUCUGAAGAUGAAAGGUAAUUAGAUUAGUGAGGAAUUUAUCCUCUACUUAAAACAUGUCCCCGCACUUAUACUAGUCAUCGAUGUCUACUAAUACUUUGGUGUGCUUCCCGCUUUCAUCACCGUCAUUACCUCUUCCCGGAGAGACCGGUCGGCGAUGUCGCGGAUCUCCUCGAGGACGUGCCAUUUGUCGUCAUAGAACCACUCCUUGCUUUUGUCGGGACGGAGGAAAUCUUGUAUGCAAUUUCGUAGGACCGACGAAGAACGACGGAGUCCAUCUCACAAUCAGUUUGAUCAGUGAAAGGCUCUCAAACGACGCCUACAAGCCGGCGGACAGAUGCAACUCCUCCAACACCAUCGAAGGCUGCUCCACCGCAAUCGCUGGAAGCAAAUCAUUGAUCGUCGGCUCAUCGUCGUCCUACUUAUAGUCGUUGUCCAUCUCCAUCUCCUCAUGUUUGUCGCAAGUAGGCAUCAUCGCACGGUCCUCCACCAUCAACGCCUCCUCUUGUGCAACCUCACUUCACACGGCUUCGAGGUCCUCCGGAGAAGGAACUAAUGGGGAGCGAGGCAGAGAGAGUAUGGGGCAUGGAGAUGGACGGCUGGAUAUCAGGUGAAUCCAUCUGCCUUAGAUGUUGUUGCAGGUGGUGAUUUUCAGAUGAACCAUGGCCGGGGGUUGGUAUGUGCAGCGUUUGCUCGCCGGAAUUGGCUGGCGUGAGGUGGUUUUAUAGGUGGGAAGGCAGCAAAAUAAGGGGAAAAUACGGGAAGAAGGUAGACAAGGGAGGGAAGCUUCUAGAUUCGCGAGCGGCGUGGCAUUGGGUUGGGGAUAUGUGGUCAGCUGGGUACGCCAUAAAGGAUCCGAAGAGGCAUCCCAUAUCAGUAAGGAGCAACUUCCCUACCGAUAGCUCAUCCUAAAAGAACUCCAAGUUAAGUGUGCUGGAGCUGGAGAAGUCUGAGGAUGGGCGACCAGAUGGGAAGUGUCAUCGAGGUUAGUUAGUUGAUGGGAUGGGUCACUAUAAACAUUUAAGUGUGUACACAACCGGUUUUGCACACACUUAAAUGUGUAUAGUGAUUCGUCAUGUCGCUGAAAUUAAUUUUGAGCUCCUUGUUUUGAAAACUUUGAGAAUGAUUUUUUGUUUUUGAAGACAUGUUAAUUGGCUUGAAGAAGGUCCAUCGUGUUACUUUAUGACAUUUCCCAAUGUGAUAUGACUUUGCUCAACUUUUAAGUCCCGUUUGACAAAGUAACCUCGAAGUACUUGUUGAAAAUUUUGAGAAUGAUUUUUUGUCAGCUUUUCAUUCUUGUCUGUUAAAUUAACCUCCCAGUCUUUCUUUUCACAAUUUUGAAAAUACAUUUUUCGUCUUUCAAGACAUGUUUACUAGAUUCUAGAAGGCAUAUGUGAUUACUUCAUGACAUGUUUCCAACAUGUCAUAUAAGUUUGGUCAACUUUUGAAGAAUGUAUGUGGCAUUCUCAUAGGUGUCAUAGGUCUGAUUGUCAACCCCUAUUAGCAAGUGCAUAUUCCCUGUUGGUACCUCAUUCUCAAAAGAACUUGAAUGUUAAGCGUGCAGUGGCUGGAGUAGUCUGAGGAUGGGUGACCGACUGGGAAGUGGCUAUGCCUCGAGGUUGAUUAAAUCGAUCUGGUAGAGUCAUUGUUAACAUUGUAUAAAUGUUUACAAGGCCCUAUCACAUAUUUUAAAAUAAUUUCAUAACUCCUUGUUUUUGAAAAUUUUAGGAAUGUAUUUUAGUUAUUUUAUUGAUUUUGUGUUCAUAACAUUGAUGAAAAUGUCCCACAAGUCUGCUCCAUUGUGAUUUUAUUUCAAUUGAAAAAGUUAAAAAUAAAGAAGGUGUUUCACACAUUUUCUGUUAUUUCACAUGUAUUUUCCUUAUCCCUUGAUUAAAAAAUGUAUGUUGCAUUUUAUCAUAAUAUUUCUUUGUUACAGCUAACAGGUGGGACCAAACCAUAGAUAUGCCCGUGUGUAGUCCCAUCAGCUUUGUCAUCUCUAUUCAUCUCCUUCACUAAAACCCCCAACUCACUAGCGAAUAGUCCCAAAUACAGUAUCUCGCCCCCUCUCGCCACCUGUCGCCAUCGGGUAUUGCAGCCAUGCUUCACUGCAGCUUCAUCUACGCCAACAAUGAUUGCUGCCAUCUUUCCCCGUAGAUCAGACACACCUACGAGGGUAGCCACCUGUCGCUGACGCUUGCCGUUGUUCAUGACUCCCCAUCCCCCCAAAAACCCUAGGUCAUCAGGUGCAAUCAGACCAAAUGAAUGUAAGUCUUCAUAUACAUCUCCUUAUCUGAUGCAAAUGACCUUAAUCCACUAAAGAUCAACUCUAGACGCUAUUUAUGAAAUAAUCGAGGGUUUGGAUAUGAAGUGUCGGAAGUGUUUUACACUCGGAUUCUCCGUGGUCACCCGUAUGUUUAGAAUGACAAAUAUCUCCGCAUCACGCUUCCGCAAGAAUUCAAAGAAAUUACGCUAUGGUUCUUAGAUUUUGUCGGAUAUCGGUUCUGGCAAAACCCUUAAGGUUCAAACACUGGGGUGUGCACGAGGAUUUCCUCCUACCCAAACACGCCCUCAACCUCACUGCGAUCUCUAAGCUAGCGCGAUGAACUCACAUCACAAGAGACACAAGAUUUAUACAGGUUCGGGCCACCGUUGUGGUGUAAUACCCUACUCCUAUGUGUGGUGGUGGAUUGCCUCUUGGGCUGAUGAUGAACAAUACAAGGGAAGAACAGCCUCAUGAGGAGGGGUGUUCUUGAGCUGGUGAAGUGUUCUAUUUGGGAAGGAUUCGAUCCGUCCUACUGUGGUGGCUAGCCCUAUUUAUAGAGGCCUUGGUGCUCUUCCCAAAUAUUGAGCGGGAAGGGAUCCAACUACGACCAUUUUGAAAUGGGACAACUAGUACAAGCUAUCCUGACUAAAGGUGGUCUUCGCCUGUCAAAGGUGCUGGUGGUGACGCCGUCUUGGGCUCCAUGGUGACCUCCGUCCUGCUGGUCUUGGUCUUGUUGCACCAAUAUGGAAACCUUUGCCUGAUGCCUCGGUACUCCAUGCAUGCGCUUGCCCCCUUAGCACCAAAAGGGAAAUGAGGACACUGUGCAGGCUGGCGCCCGCUUGGCCUUGGUUGUCAUGGCUUGCGUCAUGGGCACCUCGCGAGGUACCCCUUGCCUUGAUCUCUCCGCCACCUUGUGAGACUUCCUGGUGAGGCCGCCCCUGAGGAGGCCUUGUGUCAUCCGCCCCGCGAGGCUUGGCCCCUCGCGAGGGUCUUGAGUGUUGGGUUGACGAAGACGGGCCGUACUGGGCCAGUGGUGGAGCCACGCCGCGGGCCGUAGGCAGGCAAGUUUGCGGACCCCCGUUCCCAGAAUGCCGACAGUAGCCCCCAGGCCCAAGGCGCGCUCAGAGUUGGCUUAGCGGCGAAGCUAAGGGGCAAGUGCGGAGUGCCGCGGGCCCCAAUAGCUUGCGGCCUUGGUCGAUGCAUGGCGAUUGAUUGGACUUGGGCGUCUCCGCUUCCCCACGCCGCCUCGCCAACUGCCCGAUUUGAAGAGUCCCUACUGCAUGCAAAAAGGGUUAUCAUUACCUGUGAUCAUGGAGGUCAACGGUUGGCCUCCCUUGGGCUAUAAAUGAGGAGGGGCGAAAGCCCUCGCCGCCCAUCUCUUUGCUACCUCUUGAGCACUGCGUUGGAUUUCCCCGAAGAGGAGAGGAUGAUGCAGCAAAGUAGCGUAAGUAUUUCCCUCAGUUUUUGAGAACCAAGGUAUCAAUCCAGUAGGAGACCAUGCAGAAGUCCCUCGUACCUGCACAAAACGAUAGCUACUCGCAACCAACAUGAUUAGGGGUUGUCAAUCCCUUCACGGUCACUUACGAGAGUGAGAUCUAAUAGAGAUGAUAAAUAAUAUUUUAGGUAUUUUUGAUAGAUAGAUGAAAAGUGAAAAGUAAAAGGCAAAGUAAAAACAAAGCAAGUAAUAAAGCGAUAGAGAUUGAUAUGAUGAGAAUAGACCCGGGGGCCAUAGGUUUCACUAGUGGCUUCUCUCAAGAGCAUAAGUAUUCUACGGUGGGUGAACAAAUUACUGUUGAGCAAUUGAUAGAAUUGAGCAUAAUUAUGAGUAUAUCUAGGUAAUGAUCAUGUAUAUAGGCAUCACGUCCGAGACAAGUAGAUCGAAACGAUUCUGCAUCUACUACUAUUACUCCACUCAUCGACCGCUAUCCAGCAUGCAUCUAGAGUAUUAAGUUAAAAACAGAGUAACGCCUUAAGCAAGAUGACAUGAUGUAGAGGGAUAAAUUCAUGCAAUAUGAUAAAACCCCCAUCUUGUUAUCCUCGAUGGUAACAAUACAAUACGUGCCUUGCUGCCCCUGCUGUCACUGGGAAAGGACACCGCAAGAUUGAACCCAAAGCUAAGCACUUCUCCCAUUGCAAGAACUACCAAUCUAGUUGGCCAAACCAAAAGGAUAAUUCAAAGAGACUUGCAAAGAUAACUCAAUCAUACAUAAAAGAAUUCAGAGAAGAUUCAAAUAUUUUCCAUAGAUAAGUUGGAUCAUAAACCCACAAUUCAUCAGUCUCAACAAACACACCGCAAAAAGAAGAUUACAUCGAAUAGAUCUCCAUGAGAGAGGGGGAGAACAUUGUAUUGAGAUCCAAAAAGAGAGAAGAAGCCAUCUAGCUACUAGCUAUGGACCCGAAGGUCUGAAGUAAACUACUCACACUUCAUCGCAGGGGCUAUGGUGUUGAUGUAGAAGCCCUCCGUGGUGGAUGCCCCCUCUGGUGGAGCUCCAGAGCAGGCCCCAAGAUGGGAUCUCGUGGAUACAGAAGGUUGCGGCGGUGGAAUUAGGUUUUUGGCUCCUCUUCUGAUUGUUUGGGGAUACGUAGGUAUAUAUAGGAGGAAGGAGUACGUCGGUGGAGCAACAGGGGGCCCACGAGGUAGGGGGCGUGCUCAGGGGGGGGGGGCUCCACCCUCGUGACCGUCUCUGGCACUUCUUGGAGUAGGGUCCAAGUCUCCUGAAUCAUGUUCGGUGAGAAAAUCACGUUCCCGAAGGUUUCAUUCCGUUUGGACUCCGUUUGAUAUUCUGUUUCUUCGAAACACUGAAAUAGGCAAAAAACAACAAUUCUAGGCUGGGCCUCCGGUUAAUAGGUUAGUCCCAAAAAUAAUAUAAAAGUGGAAAAUAAAGCCCAAUAUAGUCCAAAACAGUAGAUAAAGUAGCAUGGAGCAAUCAAAAAUUAUAGAUACGUUGGAGACGUAUCAGGCAUCCCCAAGCUUAAUUCCUGCUCGUCCUCGAGUAGGUAAAUGAUAAAAAAGAAUUUUUGAUGCGGAGUGAUACUUUGGCAUAAUUUCAAUGUAAAUCUUCUUAAUUGUGAUAUGAAUAUUCAGAUCCGAAAGAUUCAAGACAAAAGUUCAUAUUGACAUAAAAAAUAAUAAUACUUCAAGCAUACUAAUCAAAGCAAUAAUGUCUUCUCAAAAUAACAUGGCCAAAGAAAGUUAUCCCUACAAAAUCAUAUAGUCUGGCUAUGCUCCAUCUUCCCCACAUAAAAUAUUUAAAUCAUGCACAACCCCGAUGACAAGCCAAGCAAUUGUUUCAUACUUAUGACAUUCUCAAAACUUUUUCAAUCUUCACGCAAUACAUGAGCGUGAGCCAUGGAUAUAGCACUAUGUGGAAUAGAAUGGUAGUUGUGGAAAAGACAAAAAUAGGGAAGAUAGUCUCACAUCAACUAGGCAUAUCAACGGGCUAUGGAGAUGCCCAUCAAUAGAUAUCAAUGUGAGUGAGUAGGGAUUGCCAUGCAACGGAUGCACUAGAGCUAUAAGUAUAUGAAAGCUCUUACAAAAGAAACUAAGUGGGUGUGCAUCCAACUCGCUUGCUCAUGAAGACCUAAGGCAUUUUGAGGAAGCCCAUCAUUGGAAUAUACAAGCCAAGUUCUAUAAUGAAAAAUUCCCACUAGUAUAUGAAAGUGACAAAAUUAGAGACUCUCUAUCAUGAAGAUCUUGGUGCUACUUUGAAGCACAAGUGUGGUAAAAGGAUAGUAGCGUUGUCCCUUCUCUCUUUGUCUCUCAUUUUUUUAUUUGGGCCUUUCUCUUCUUUUUGGCCUUUUUUUUAUUUUCGUCGGGAGUCUCAUCCCGACUUAUGGGGGAAUGAUAGUCUCCAUCACCCUUUCCUCACUUGGGACAAUGCUCUAAUAAUGAUGAUCAUCACACUUUUAUUUUUCUUACAACUCAACAAUUACAACCCGAUACUUAGAACAAAGUAUGACUCUAUAUGAAUGCCUCCGGCGGUGUACCGGGAUAUGCAAUGAAUCAUGAGUGACAUGUAUGAAAGAAUUAUGAACGGUGGCCUUGCCACAAAUACGAUGUCAACUACAUGAUCAUGCUAGCAAUAUGACAAUGAUGGAGCGUGUCAUAAUAAACGGAACAGUGGAAAGUUGCAUGGCAAUAUAUCUCGGAAUGGCUAUGGAAAUGCCAUAAUAGGUAGGUAUGGUGGCUGUUUUGAGGAAGGUAUAUGGUGGGUGUAUGAUACCGGCGAAAAGUGCGCGGUAUUAGAGAGGCUAGCAAAGGUGGAAGGAUGGGGAAAAGUGCGUAUAAUCCAUGGACUCAACAUUAGUCAUAAAGAACUCAUAUACUUAUUGCAAAAAUCUAGAAGUUAUCAAAGCAAAGUAUUACGCACAUGCUCCUAGGGGGAUAGAUUGGUAGGAAAAGACCAUCGCUAGUCCCCGACCUCCACUCAUAAGGAAGACAAUCAAUAAAUAAAUCAUGCUCCGAGUUCAUCACAUAAUGGUUGACCAUACGUGCAUGCUACGGGAAUCACAAACUUCAACACAAGUAUUCUUUGAAUUCACAACUACUUAACUAGCAUGACUCUAAUAUCAUCACCUUCAUAUCUCAAAACAAUUAUCAAGCAUCAAACUUAUCUUAGCAUUCAACACACUCAAAAGAAAGUUUCACAUAUCUUGAAUACCAAGUAUAUUAAGGUUAAGCGAAUUACCAUGCUAUUAACGACUCUCAAAAUAAUCUAAGUGAAGCAUGAGAGAUCAAUAGUUUCUUUAAAAAAAUCCACCACCGUGCUCUAAAAUAUAUAAGUAAAGCACUAGAGCAAAAGUUAUCACACUCAAAAGAUAUAAGUGAAACACUAUGAGCAAAACUAUCAAGCUCAAAAGAUAUAGGUGAAGCACAUAGAGUAUUCUAACAAAUUCCAAUUCAUGUAUGGCUCUCUCAAAAGGUGUGUACAUCAAGGAUGAUUGUGGUAAACUAGCAAGCAAAGACGCAAAUAAUACAAGACGCUCCAAGCAAAACACAUAUCAUGUGGUGAAUAAAAAUAUAGCUCCAAGUAAAUUACCGAUGGAAGUGGACGAAAGAGGGGAUGCCUUCCGGGGCAUCCCCAAGCUUUGACUUUUUGGUGUCCUUGGAUUAUCUUGGGAGUGCCAUGGGCAUCCCCAAGCUUAGGCUCUUGCCACUCCUUGUUCCAUAAUCCAUCAAAAGAAUUCACCCAAAACUUGAAAACUUCACAACACAAAACUCAACAGAAAUCCCGUGAGCUCCGUUAGAGAAAAAAAAGAACUACUUAAGGUACUGUAAUGAACUCAUUAUUUAUUUAUAUUGGUGUUAAAACUACUGUAUUCCAACUUCUCUAUGGAUUAUAAACUAUUUUACUAGCCAUAGAUUCAUUAAAGUAAGCAAACAACACCCGUAAAACAGAAUCUGUCAAAAACAGAACAGUCUGUAGCAAUCUGUAACUAACGCAAACUUCUGGAACUCUAAAAAUUCUACCGAAAUAGGAAGUCCUGGAAAAUUUGUUUAUUGAACAGCAGAAAAAAUAAUCAACACAAAAGAACGAUCCUGUGAUUAAACAAAAUUAUAUUCGUGCGCGCAAAGUUUCUGUUUUUCAGCAGAAUCAAGUCAACUAUCAUCGUAGGUUAUCCUAUAGGUUCUACUUGGCACAAACACUAAUUAAAAGAUAAAACAACAUCCAAAUAGAGGCUAGAUGGAUUAUUUAUUCCUAAACAGAAGCAAAAACAAAAAACACAAAUUAAAUUGGGUUGCCUCCCAACAAGCGCUAUCGUUUAUCGCCCCUAGCUAGGCAUAAAAGCAAGGAUAGAUCUACGUAUUGCCAUCUUUGGCAGGCAAUCCAUAAGUGGCUCUCAUGAUAGAUUCAUAUGGUAAUUUUAUUUUCUUUCUAGGGAAGUGUUCCAUGCCCUUCUUUAAGGGAAAUUGGAAUCGAAUAUUCCAUUCCUUCAUAUCAAUAAUUGCACCAAUCGUUCUAAGGAAAGGUCUACCAAGAAUAAUAGGACAUGAAGGAUUGCAAUCUAUAUCAAGAACGAUAAAAUCUACGGGCACAUAAUUCCUAUUUUCAACAAUAAGAACAUCAUUAAUUCUUCCCAUAGGCUUUUUAAUAGUGGAAUCCGCAAGAUGCAAGUUUAGAGAGCAAUCAUCAAAAUCACGGAAAUCUAGCAAAUCACAUAAAGUUUGGGGAAUAGUAGAGACACUAGCACCCAAAUCACACAAAGCAUGAAACUCAUAAUCUUUAAUUUUAAUUUUAGUAGUAGGUUCCCACUCAUCAUAGAGUUUUCUAGGGAUCGGAACUUUCAACUCAAGUUUUUCUUCAUAAGAUUGCAUCAAGGCAUCAACAAUGUGUUCAGUAAAGGCCUUAUUUUGACUAUAAGCAUGAGGAGAAUCUAGCACGGAUUGCAAAAAGGAAAUACAACCAAUUAAAGAGCAAUUUUCAUAAUUAAAUUCCUUGAGAUCCAAAAUAGUGGGUAUAUCAACAUCUAGGUUUUUAUUUCUUUCAAUCCCACUUUCAUCAAAUUCAUCAUCAAGAUCUAGAAACUCCGAAUUCUUAGAACGCCUUCUAGGUAAAGGAAGAUCAUAUUCAGUUUCAUCAAGAUUCAUAUUUCAAAACAAAGAUUUGAUGGGGGACACAUCAAUAACUUUUAGAUCUUCAUCUUGAUUUUCAUAGGAAUUGGAAGAACAUGCUUUAAUAAAUGCAUCUUUGGAAGCACGCAUCCUAGUGGUUCUUUCCUUGCACUCAUCAAUGGAAAUUCUCAUGACUUUGAGAGACUCAUUGAUAUCAUGCUUAGGAGGAAUAGAUCUAAGCUUUAAAGAAUCAAUUUCAAGAGAAAUUCUAUCAAUGUUCCUAGCCAAAUCAUCAACUUUAAGCAAUUUCUCUUCAAGCAAAGCAUUCAAAUUCUUUUGUGAAUUCAUAAACUCUUUAACACUACUCUAAAAUUCAGAGGGCAUCUUAUUAAAAUUUCCAUAAGAGUUGUUGUAGGAAUUUCCAUAAUUGUUAGAAGGAUUACUAGGAUAAGGCCUAGGAUUAAAAUUCCCUCUAUACGCGUUGUUUCCAAAACUAUUCCUGCCAACAAAAUUCACAUCCAUAGAUUCAUUAUUAUUCUCAAGCAAAGUAGACAAAGGCAUAUCAUUGGGAUCAAGAGGGGUAUUUUUAGGAGCAAACAUCUUCAUAAGUUCAUCCAUCUUUUCACUCAAAACAUUGAUUUCUUCUAUAGCAUGCACUUUUUUACUAGAAGAUCUUUCGGUGUGCCAUUGAGAAUAAUUAGCAGUAAUAUUAUCAAGCAAUUUUGUGGCAUCUCCUAACGUAAUUUCCAUAAACGUGCCUCCCCCGGCCGAAUCUAAAAGAUUUCUAGAAGCAAAAUUCAAUCCGGCAUAAUUUUUUUGUAUGAUCAUCCAUAAAUUCAAACCAUGAGUAGGGCAAUUGUGAAGCAUCAAUUUCAUUCUUUCCCAAGAUUGGGAAACAUGCUCAUGAUCAAGUUGUUUAAAAUUCAUGAUAUCGUUCCUAAGAGUGAUGAUUUUAGCGGGAGGAAAAUACUUAGAGAUAAAAGCAUCUUUGCACUUGUUCCAAGAAUCAAUACUAUUUUUAGGCAAAGACGAAAACCAAACUUUAGCACGAUCUCUAAGCGAAAACGGAAAUAAGUUCAACUUGACAAUAUUGUUAUUUGUAUCUUUCUUCUUUUGCAUAUCACACAAAUCAAAAAAAUUAUUUAGAUGAGUAGCGACAUCUUCACUAGGAAGUCCGACGAAUUGAUCUUUCAUAACAAGAUUCAGCAAAGCGGUAUUGAUUUCACAAGACUCAUCAUUAUUAAGAGGAGCAAUUGGAGUACUAAGGAAAUCAUUAUUAUUGGUAUUCGAGAAGUCACACAAUUUGGUAUUAUCUUGCGCCAUGGCAACAAGUAAUCCAACACACAAGCAAACAGAAAGGCAACGAAAAAUGGCAAACGUGAAAGAGAGGAGGAUAUUGGGAAAGAGAGCGCGAAUAAAACGGCAAGGGUGAAGUGGGGGAGAGGAAAACGAGAGGCAAAUGGCAAAUAAUGUAAUGCGAGAGAUAGGGAUUGUGAUGGGUACUUGGUAUGGUUGACUCGCUUGCGUGAGACUCCCUGGCAACGGCCCCAGAAAUUCUUCUUGCUACCUCUUGAGCACUGCGUUGGAUUUCCCCGAAGAGGAGAGGAUGAUGCAGCAAAGUAGCGUAAGUAUUUCCCUCAGUUUUUGAGAACCAAGGUAUCAAUCCAGUAGGAGACCAUGCACAAGUCCCUCGUACCUGCACAAAACGGUAGCUACUCGCAACCAACGCAAUUAGGGGUUGUCAAUCCCUUCACGGUCACUUACGAGAGUGAGAUCUAAUAGAGAUGAUAAAUAAUAUUUUUGGUAUUUUUGAUGGAUAGAUGCAAAGUGAAAAGUAAAAGGCAAAGUAAAAACAAAGCAAGUAAUAAAGCGAUAGAGAUUGAUAUGAUGAGAAUAGACCCGGGAGCCAUAGGUUUCACUAGUGGCUUCUCUCAAGAGCAUAAGUAUUCUAAGGUGAGUGAACAAAUUACUGUUGAGCAAUUGACAGAAUUGAGCAUAAUUAUGAGUAUAUCUAGGUAAUGAUCAUGUAUAUAGGCAUCACGUCCAAGACAAGUAGAUCGAAACAAUUCUGCAUCUACUACUAUUACUCCACUCAUCGACCGCUAUCCAGCAUGCAUCUAGAGUAUAAAGUUAAAAACAGAGUAAUGCCUUAAGCAAGAUGACAUGAUGUAGAGGGAUAAAUUCAUGCAAUAUGAUAAAAGCCCCAUCUUGUUAUCCUCGAUGGCAACAAUACAAUACGUGCCUUGCUGCCCCUGCUGUCACUGGGAAAGGACACCGCAAGAUUGAACCCAAAGCUAAGUACUUCUCCCAUUGCAAGAACUACCAAUCUAGUUGGCCAAACCAAAAGUAUAAUUCGAAGAGACUUGCAAAGAUAACUCAAUCAUACAUAAAAGAAUUCAGAGAAGAUUCAAAUAUUUUCCAUAGAUAAGUUGGAUCAUAAACCCACAAUUCAUCGGUCUCAACAAACACACCGCAAAAAGAAGAUUACAUCGAAUAGAUCUCCACGAGAGAGGGGGAGAACAUUGUAUUGAGAUCCAAAAAGAGAGAAGAAGCCAUAUAGCUACUAGCUAUGGACCCGAAGGUCUGAAGUAAACUACUCACACUUCAUCGGAGGGCCUAUGGUGUUGAUGUAGAAGCCCUCCGUGGUGGAUGCCCCCUCCGACGGAGCUCCGGAACAGGCCCCAAGAUGGGAUCUUGUGGAUACAGAAGGUUGCGGCGGUGGAAUUAGGUUUUUGGCUCCUCUUCUGAUCGUUUGGGGAUACGUAGGUAUAUAUAGGUGGAAGGAGUACGUCGGUGGAGCAACAGGGGGUCCACGAGGUAGGGGGGCGCACCCAGGUAGGGGGGCGCCCUCCACCCUCAUGACCGCCUCUGGCGCUUCUUGGAGUAGGGUCCAAGUCUCCUGGAUCACGUCCGGUGAGAAAAUCACGUUCCCGAAGGUUUCAUUCCGUUUGGACUCCGUUUGAUAUUUCGUUUCUUCGAAACACUGAAAUAGGCAAAAAACAGCAAUUCUGGGCUAGGCCUCUGGUUAAUAGGUUAGUCCCAAAAAUAAUAUAAAAGUGGAAAACAAAGCCCAAUAUAGUCCAAAACAGUAGAUAAAGUAGCAUGGAGCAAUCAAAAAUUAUAGAUACGUUGGAGACGUCACUCUUCUUUCUCCGCCUACUUCUUCCCCCCUGCUCCACUUCCAGUCUUUACGCCAAUGGCACCGAUCCGUAGAUUCUCGGUCGAAGAGAAGGGGAAGGCUCCACGGGAUGCACCUAAUCCGCUCCUGCCAAAGAAGAGGCCGGUCUACCACCGUGGUGAGGUCGCGGGGCUGGAGAUGACGAGGCCUUGGUGCGAGUGGCCACCCCCUGGGUACCCGCUACUCCAAUACGCCCCAGCUGAGGACUCUAGAGAAAGGGGCAGCGAGCGGCGCCGCCUGCGCCGCGGCCGAGGUCGGUGCGCCGUGAUGACGCGCGCUUUCGCCCCUAGAGUCCAGGCCGUGGACACCUCUCGCGAGCUCGUGCUACACGCGGUGAUGCCUCCAAGCACCUGGAUCCGCUUCCCUUCAUUCUUCUCCACCGAGAUGCCGCCAAGGGGGCCUCUUGAGCUUUGGAUGUAGCACGCCAACUGUGAUGCCCCGGCGAUCGGAGCAGAGGUUGAAGUCAUUGGCCCGGGCAAGAUCUUCAUGACCCUGGGCUGGGGCGAAGUCACCGGGGUCUGCCGAACGGGGGGUGCCCUCGUGAUUCAUUUUGAAUACGAUGGAGCCUCCUUGUUGUUCUUCAAGGUCUUCGACGCGGAAGGCCACCGCCUGGAGUGCUGCCCCAGAGGAGGCAGUCAGGACAUCGAUGCGGCAGGGACCGGGCCCACCGUUUGAUGGGGUUAUGUACCUAGGGUAGGGUCAUGGACCUGAUCCAAGUAACUUACCCCAGGACAUCCUUAGAAGAGGUCGCCUUCCAGUCGACCAACGAGGAUUCACUCGACUAGCCUGAAGGACUCGACCACGAAGACUCACUCGACCACCAGGAGGUCAAGAGGCACUCUGCACUGCAACGGCCUGUAAUCAAGUAGUCUUUAUGAUAGUAAAGGCACUUUAUGUGGGGCGUUACCAGUAACGCCCCAGACUUAACUCACCUUAAACCCUCUCCUACGUGGGCUGGCUGGGGUCCUGGCGCACUCUAUAUAAGCCACCCCCCUCCACAGGCAGAAGGGUUCGGCACCUUGUAAUUCAUACAUUCAUAAUCCACUCGACCGCCUCCGGGCUCCGAGACGUAGGGCUGUUACUUCCUCCGAGAAGGGCCUGAACUCGUACAUCCUUUGUGCUUACAACCUCUCCAUAGCUAGGACCUUGCCUCUCCAUACCUACCCCCCACUCUACUGUCAGGCUUAGAACCACGACAGUUGGCGCCCACCGUGGGGCAGGUGUUUUAGCGAUUUUGUGGAGAAGUUGCGAUUCUUCCGAGUACUCUCAUCAUGGUGUCUACUGGAGUUUUGGUCAAGGGUCAAGAGAUCCGUCUCGGCACUCUCACCUUCAUCGCCGACGACUCCGCAUGGCUCCAGGAGGCUCCACUCGACGUAGAUGCGCUCCCCGUCCGCGGUGCGACGCAUUUUCGCGCAUGUGUCCGCGGCGUUCUGCUGCGGCAACCGUCGACCCAGUAUCGGUCGGCUCCUCCAUCGUCUACCCUCCCGGUCUCCCGCCAGCGCAAGCGCUCAGGCCGGUCGAGGCUUCAGCGAUGGGUGAGUCACGCGGUGGCUCGCCAAUCGGCCACUACACAAGUUGCGGCAAUCGAGCCCAACGAAUCUCUCUACGGCUUGUUCGAUCAGUCGAAUAGCUCCAGAGAGACUGCAUCCGAGUGCGGAAGCAGUGAUCCAGCGGCGGAAAUCUUGAUGGUCGACGGGCCUCACAGCCCUCCUGGCUUCGCCCGAGGUGGUGGAGCAGGUGACGGCGGCGACCCUGCACGAGACUACGAAGAGUACCAGCCCGAGCCACUCGACUCUCUGCAAAGAGAAGAGCUUCGCCGCAGGAACGAGGAUCCCCUGUGUAUUCCCAUCGCAGGAGAAACCCCCGAGGCUCGUGCCUUGGAGGAGGCGCGUCUGGCCAAUUUGGCCGAGCGCACUCGACUGGAGAACCUUCAGCGAGCACUCGACGAGCGCGCGCGGCAACGAGUUCCUGACACCAGUCGACGUCAACUCUUCCCGCCGACUCAGGUAUAUCGAACCCCAAUUCAGAAUUUAGCAGCUGCGACCCGUAUAGCAGAGUCCAUUCAGCCUUCGCAGUCAGAAGCUGGCAGAGGUUUGCUGCAGAUCAGGGAUCUGCUCCGGGCAGCAGGAGAUCAGAAUUCAGCCGUGUCUCAGUCGCGCAACAGAAUUCACAGUCGAUCUGUCACUGUGAAUACGGUUCAGUCGGCUCACAACCCCAGAUCGCCUCCGCGACGCGAAGGGCGUGAGAAUCGGCGAGAUCAAUAUGGCGACAGACUCGACCGAGAUGAUAGGCGUCGAGUGCCCUAUUCCCCUCCGAGGGGUGGGUCUUACGCUCCUCGGCAGCCAGAUGAUAGGCGUCAGUACAGUACAGGGCGUAGGGUUCCAGUUGACCCCAGAGAGCCAGGCUUCGACGCGCGAUCCAUUAUCGUGCAAGGGUUGGUCGACCGGAACAGAGCCCAUCGAGGCGCACUCGACAGAGAUGUACCCACGAGCAGUCGAGUACAUGUUUCUGGUCCUGAAUGUUUCAGCAGAGCUAUCAGAGCCGCAGUUAUCCCCCCCAAUUUCAGGUUGGCAACAGGAGUCAGCAAGUUCACUGGUGAGUCUAAGCCUGAAACUUGGCUUGAAGACUACCGAGUGGCAGUUCAGAUCGGUGGUGGGAACGACGAGGUGGCCAUGAAGCAUUUGCCUCUCAUGUUGGAAGGUUCUGCCAGGGCAUGGUUGACUCAAUUACCUCCUAGCAGCAUUUACACUUGGGAAGAUCUGUCCCGAGUGUUCGUCAGAACGUUUGAAGGGACAUGCAAACGACCAGCGGGAUUGACAGAGUUGCAAGUCUGCGUGCAGAAAACUAAUGAGACUCUCAGAGAGUAUAUUCAGAGGUGGAUCACUUUGCACCACACUGUGGAAAAUGUCUCUGAUCAUCAGGCAGUAUGCGCCUUCAAAGACGGCGUCAAGAACAGAGAACUGAGUUUGAAAUUUGGUCGAACCGGUGACAUGACCUUGAGUCGGAUGAUGGAGAUUGCUACCAAGUACGCCAACGGCGAAGAAGAAGACCGACUCCGCAGCGGCAAGCACAAGCCGAGUCAGUCGGAAAAAGGAAACACCAGUCGGAAACAGAAGCGGAAGGCUGAACCGGCAGCUCCUGGAGAGGCUCUGGCCGUGACUCAAGGAAAGUUUAAGGGGAAACCAAAAGGAUCCUGGAACCCCAAGAAGGUAAAGGAUAAAGAAGGGAACGACGUGAUGGAUAUGCCGUGUCACAUUCACACGAAGAAAGAUGAAGAGGGGAAUAUCAUUUACCCAAAGCACACCACUCGCCAAUGUCGACUCCUGAUCCAGCAGUUUCAGGGAAAACAGUCUAAGGACAAGGAGAAGGAGUCGGACAAGGCCGAAGACAAAGAGGACAGUGAGGGAGGAUAUCCGCAUAUCAACUCCACUCUGAUGAUCUUUGCAGAUGUGGAAAGCAAAAGUCGACUGAAAGUGAUUAACCGAGAGGUGAACAUGGUUGCCCCAGCAAAGGCAAAUUAUCUGAAGUGGUCUCAAACACCCAUCACAUUCGACCAAUCUGAUCACCCGACUCAUAUUGCCACCCCCGGGAGGCAAGCUUUGGUGGUCGAUCCAGUUGUCGAAGGCACUCGACUGACAAAGGUGCUGAUGGAUGGUGGAAGUGGGCUGAACUUAUUGUAUGCAGACACAUUGAAAGGUAUGGGCAUUCCGAUGUCCCGACUGAGCACUAGUAACAUGAGCUUCCAUGGAGUUAUACCAGGGAAGAAGGCCGAGUCACUCGGCCAGAUAGCUUUGGACGUAGUGUUUGGUGAUUCGAAGCAUUUUCGCAAAGAAAAGUUGACGUUUGAGGUCGUGGAUUUUCAAAGUGCAUAUCAUGCCAUUUUGGGGAGACCAGCCUAUGCACGGUUCAUGGCUCGACCAUGUUACGUGUACCUCAAAUUGAAGAUGCCCGGUCCCAAAGGUGUGAUCACUGUCACCGGUGAUAGGAAAAAGGCAGAGGAGUUCUUUCAGAAGGGCUCCAAGAUUGCCGAUUCCCAAGUGACAGCGGUCGAGUUCGAAGAAUACAAGCAAAACGCAGAUCCGAGUGACUUGCUGCGAUCCAAGAAGCCCGCCACAGAGUCUGCAUUCCAGUCGUCCGGUGAGACGAAGCCUGUUCACAUUCACCCGACCGACCCCGAAGCAGCUCCGACCCGCAUCUCCACAACACUCGACCCAAAAUAGGAAGAAGCGCUCAUCCAGUUCCUCCGUGAGAACUGGGACAUUUUUGCAUGGAAGCCCGCUGACAUGCCAGGUGUUCCCAGGGGACUGGCUGAGCAUCGCCUAAGAGUCGACUCGUCUGCAAAACCAGUCAAAGAGCAUCUUCGGCGGUCCGCCGUCUAGAAGAGAAAGGCCAUCGGUGAAGAAGUGGCUCGACUGUUGGCGGCAGGAUUUAUCCGAGAGAUAUACCACUCCGAGUGGCUCGCUAAUGUCGUCAUGGUUCCUAAGAAGGACAAGUCGCUCCGAAUGUGCAUUGAUUUCAAGCACAUCAACCGGGCCUGCCCGAAAGAUCACUUUCCUCUCCCUCGCAUAGAUCAAAUUGUUGACUCGACCGCGGGAUGCGAGAGGUUGUCUUUUUUAGAUGCUUACUCCGGGUACCACCAGAUCCGUCUGUACGGGCCCGAUGAGAUAAAAACAGCUUUCAUCACUCCAUUCGGGUGCUUCUGCUAUAUCACCAUGCCAUUCGGCCUCAAGAAUGCCGGAGCCACAUUUAUGCGAAUGAUUCAGAAGUGUCUACUCACCCAAAUCAGUCGGAAUGUGGAAGCUUAUAUGGAUGAUAUUGUUGUCAAGUCACGAAAAGGUUCCGACCUGCUCGCUGACCUCGCCGAAACAUUUGCCAACCUCAGAAGGUAUCAUAUCAAGCUCAAUCCAUCAAAGUGCACAUUUGGAGUUCCUGGUGGCAAGUUACUCGGUUUUCUCGUUUCCGAACGGGGAAUCGACGCUAACCCAGAGAAGAUAGGCACUAUUCUCCGAAUGAAACGCCCUGUGCGAGUGCACGAUGUCCAGAAGCUUACUGGAUGCUUGGCCGCAUUAAGUCGAUUCAUCUCACGACUCGGUGAAAAGGCACUGCCUCUUUACCGACUGAUGAAGAAGGCUGACAAGUUCGAGUGGACUCCAGAAGCUGAUGCAGCGUUUGCCGAGCUAAAAGCUCUGCUCUCCACCCAGCCGGUGCUUGCUGCUCCAAUCAGCAAAGAGCCUCUGUUGCUCUACAUCGCAGCCACAGGACAAGUCGUCAGUACUGUGCUAACGGUCGAGCGGGAAGAAGAAGGAAAAGCUCUCAAAGUUCAGCACCCAGUGUAUUAUUUGUCUGAAGUCUUGACUCCAUCCAAGCAGAGAUAUCCUCAUUAUCAGAAGCUUGUGUAUGGAAUAUACAUGACCGCAAAGAAGGUUGCUCAUUAUUUCUCUGACCAUUCCAUCACAGUCAUCAGCGACGCUCCACUAUCAGAGAUUUUGCACAACAGAGAUGCAACUGGUCGAGUGGCCAAAUGGGCGAUUGAACUUCUUCCCCUUGAUAUCAAGUUUGAGGCAAAGAAAGCCAUUAAGUCCCAGGCGAUAGCAGAUUUCCUCGCCGAGUGGAUUGAACAACAGCAGCCGACUGAAGUUCACUCGGAGCAUUGGACCAUGUUUUUCGAUGGCUCUAAGAUGUUGAAUGGUUCCGGUGCUGGGGUUGUCCUGGUUUCCCCCAGAGGAGAUAAGCUCAGAUAUGUGCUCCAGAUUCACUUUGAUUCCUCCAACAAUGAGGCAGAAUAUGAGGCCCUCCUAUAUGGGUUGCGCAUGGCCAUUUCACUCGGCGUCCGUCGCCUAAUGGUCUAUGGCGACUCGGAUUUAGUGGUCAAUCAGGUGAUGAAAGAGUGGGACGUGAGAAGCCCAGCCAUGACUGGAUACUGCAGUGCAGUGAGGAAGCUGGAGAAGAAGUUCGAGGGGUUGGAGCUCCAUCAUAUACCCCGACUGAAAAAUCAAGCAGCUGAUGAUCUAGCAAAGUUAGGUUCCAAGAGAGAAGCCAUUCCGAGUGGUGUGUUCUUGGAGCAUAUACACACUCCGUCAGUCAAAGAAGAUCCUUUCACCGAAGAAACUCCGCAGCCCAAGAGCGCCACAGAUCUGACUGAAGUUGAAGUCCCAGCGGUGGUCGACUUGAUCAUGGAGGUUUUGGUGGUCAUUCCCGACUGGACGAUUCCGUAUGUCGCAUAUAUCUUGAGGAAAGAGCUUCCGGAGGAUGAGGAAGAGGCUCGACAGAUCAUCCGUCGAUCUAAGGCCUUUACCGUAAUCAAAGGACAAUUAUACAGAGAAAGCGCGACUGGAGUCGGUCAGAAGUGCAUAACACCAGAAGAAGGUCGACUCAUCCUCAAUGAUAUUCACUCGGGGACCUGUGGUCAUCAUGCGUCCUCUCGGACCAUCGUGGCCAAAGCAUACCGAGCCGGAUUUUACUGGCCCAAGGCGAAUGAGAUGGCAAAAGAGAUAGUAGAUAAGUGCGAGGGAUGUCAGUUCUACUCGAAUAUGUCGCACAAGCCUGCGUCAGCUUUGAAGACCAUCCCACUCGUCUGGCCUUUUGCAGUUUGGGGGCUGGACAUGAUCGGUCCUUUGAGAACAGGACGAAGUGGCUUCACGCAUGUACUGGUGGCAGUCGACAAGUUCACCAAGUGGAUCGAGGCUAAACCAAUCAAGAGCCUUGACACCGGUACUGCUGUUAGCUUCAUCAGGGAACUAAUAUUCAGAUAUGGAGUCCCGCACAGCAUCAUCACGGAUAAUGGGUCGAACUUUGACUCAGAGGAAUUCAGAGCUUUCUGCGACUCCCAGGACACACGGGUCGACUACGCAUCAGUCGCUCAUCCGCAGUCUAAUGGACAAGCAGAGCGAGCUAAUGGACUGAUUCUCAAGGGACUGAAGCCUCGACUGAUGCGUGAUCUCAAACACGCGGCUGGAGCUUGGGUCGACGAACUUCCAUCUGUACUCUGGGGACUGCGGACCACGCCUAAUCGGUCGACCGGAAGAACUCCAUUCUUCUUGGUCUAUGGAGCUGAAGCAGUCUUGCCGAGUGAUCUUCUCCACAAUGCUCCUCGAGUUGAAAUCUACAACGAAGCAGAAGCUGAACAAGCGCGGCAGGACGCAGUCGACCUUUUAGAGGAAGAAAGGGAGAUGGCUCUGAUCCGAUCGACCAUCUACCAACAAGAUUUGCGUCGUUUCCACGCCAGAAAUGUGAGAGGUCGAGCCUUCCAGGAAGGAGAUUUAGUUCUCCGAGUGGAUCAGCACAAACCACACAAGCUUGCUCCUUCCUGGGAAGGUCCCUUCAUCGUCACCAAGGUUCUCCACAACGGGGCGUACCGUCUUUACAACGUCGAGCAUAACAUCGACGAGCCCCGAGCUUGGAACGCGGAGCUACUCCGCCCAUUUUAUACUUAAGUUUUCUCACUCGGGUGAGUUGCAACAAAGUACUUCUGUAGUUCAUGGACCUCAAAAUAAUAGUGUCACAGUUCCUCCAUAAUUUCUGUCACUUUUUAUUUUUGUCCAAUAAAAUUCCCCCUCAGUGGGUGACUUAGCUGCGAAUCCAUUUCGCCUAAGUUUGUAAAAAUCCUACCGAGUGGUGAGCCAGACUCCCACUCGGAGGCUUAGCUGCGAAUCCGUUUCGCCUAAGUUUAUCAAAAUCCUACCGAGUGGUAAGCCAGCCUUCCACUCGGGGGCUUAGCUGCAGCCCUGUGCUCGCCUAAGUUACAAAAAUCCUACCGAGUGAAGAGCAACCCUCUCACUCGGGGGCUUAGCUGCAGUCCAAGCACUCGCCUAAGUUAUAAAAAUCCUACCGAGUGAAGAGCAACCCUCUCACUCGGGGGCUUAGCUGCAGCCCUGUGCUCGCCUAAGUUACAAAAAUCCUACCGAGUGAAGAGCAACCCUCUCACUCGGGGGCUUAGCUGCAGUCCAAGCACUCGCCUAAGUUAUAAAAAUCCUACCGAGUGAAGGGCAACCCUCUCACUCGGGGGCUUAGCUGCAGNNNNNNNNNNNNNNNNNNNNNNNNNNNNNNNNNNNNNNNNNNNNNNNNNNNNNNNNNNNNNNNNNNNNNNNNNNNNNNNNNNNNNNNNNNNNNNNNNNNNNNNNNNNNNNNNNNNNNNNNNNNNNNNNNNNNNNNNNNNNNNNNNNNNNNNNNNNNNNNNNNNNNNNNNNNNNNNNNNNNNNNNNNNNNNNNNNNNNNNNNNNNNNNNNNNNNNNNNNNNNNNNNNNNNNNNNNNNNNNNNNNNNNNNNNNNNNNNNNNNNNNNNNNNNNNNNNNNNNNNNNNNNNNNNNNNNNNNNNNNNNNNNNNNNNNNNNNNNNNNNNNNNNNNNNNNNNNNNNNNNNNNNNNNNNNNNNNNNNNNNNNNNNNNNNNNNNNNNNNNNNNNNNNNNNNNNNNNNNNNNNNNNNNNNNNNNNNNNNNNNNNNNNNNNNNNNNNNNNNNNNNNNNNNNNNNNNNNNNNNNNNNNNNNNNNNNNNNNNNNNNNNNNNNNNNNNNNNNNNNNNNNNNNNNNNNNNNNNNNNNNNNNNNNNNNNNNNNNNNNNNNNNNNNNNNNNNNNNNNNNNNNNNNNNNNNNNNNNNNNNNNNNNNNNNNNNNNNNNNNNNNNNNNNNNNNNNNNNNNNNNNNNNNNNNNNNNNNNNNNNNNNNNNNNNNNNNNNNNNNNNNNNNNNNNNNNNNNNNNNNNNNNNNNNNNNNNNNNNNNNNNNNNNNNNNNNNNNNNNNNNNNNNNNNNNNNNNNNNNNNNNNNNNNNNNNNNNNNNNNNNNNNNNNNNNNNNNNNNNNNNNNNNNNNNNNNNNNNNNNNNNNNNNNNNNNNNNNNNNNNNNNNNNNNNNNNNNNNNNNNNNNNNNNNNNNNNNNNNNNNNNNNNNNNNNNNNNNNNNNNNNNNNNNNNNNNNNNNNNNNNNNNNNNNNNNNNNNNNNNNNNNNNNNNNNNNNNNNNNNNNNNNNNNNNNNNNNNNNNNNNNNNNNNNNNNNNNNNNNNNNNNNNNNNNNNNNNNNNNNNNNNNNNNNNNNNNNNNNNNNNNNNNNNNNNNNNNNNNNNNNNNNNNNNNNNNNNNNNNNNNNNNNNNNNNNNNNNNNNNNNNNNNNNNNNNNNNNNNNNNNNNNNNNNNNNNNNNNNNNNNNNNNNNNNNNNNNNNNNNNNNNNNNNNNNNNNNNNNNNNNNNNNNNNNNNNNNNNNNNNNNNNNNNNNNNNNNNNNNNNNNNNNNNNNNNNNNNNNNNNNNNNNNNNNNNNNNNNNNNNNNNNNNNNNNNNNNNNNNNNNNNNNNNNNNNNNNNNNNNNNNNNNNNNNNNNNNNNNNNNNNNNNNNNNNNNNNNNNNNNNNNNNNNNNNNNNNNNNNNNNNNNNNNNNNNNNNNNNNNNNNNNNNNNNNNNNNNNNNNNNNNNNNNNNNNNNNNNNNNNNNNNNNNNNNNNNNNNNNNNNNNNNNNNNNNNNNNNNNNNNNNNUCGGUCAGGGCAGCUUUGUCAGUUCUCAGUCGACUGACCUCCUUGUUGGCAAUCCCAAGAGCAGUUUUCAGAUUGGUAUUGUCUUGUUCGAGCUUGGUGACUGAAGCUAACUUCUCGUCAGCAAGCUUGAUCUUCUCAGCUAGCUCAAGGUCUUUCUUCUGCUGGGCCUCCCUUACCUUACCUGCAAGUUACAGCAAGAUCAGAUGCUGAAACAAGCAAGGGGAAAAGCAGUCGUCAGGGUCUCACCAAACAUACCUUCGGUCUCCUCCUUUGCCUUUGUCAGCUUCUCCUGAACCAGCUUCAAGCUCAGCUCGACUUGAGUAUGUUUCUGUUCCAGCUCUGAGUAGCGAGCCACAAGAUCACAAGAGUUCUGCGAAGAACCAAUCGACUAAAUGUCAAAUGUAAUUCACUUCCGAGUGAAAAAGGGAAAAACACACGUUUCUAAGACUAUAGCCGAAUACAAGCAUUCGACCGUAGUCUCGGGGACUACACCCAGUGGGUGCACUCAGCGUGCCCCCACUAAUCCUGUUGAAGACAAAGUCGACCAGUCGACCUCAAAAAAAAAA